rnacentral:lncRNA from 1 species
AAUUAAGUAGUGAUGAACAGUUGGAAUUAAGGGCAUGUUUAAUUGGUUCAUGAUUGGAAUAGGAAUGAGAAACGAAAUUUGAUUGCUUUGGAGUAAGAAAUGGAAUAAUGAAUCAUCCAAAAAUAUUUGGUUUAUUAUUAGAAUGGAAAUCAGAAUGAAAAUUUAAAACUUUUGAGAGAAGGUUUUGAUUAAGAGAGAGAAAAGUGAUGAAGGGAGAGGAGGUAGGUGUUGAUGAAAGAGGAUUUUGAAUAGUUUACUUUGGAAUGAGCCAAUCUGGGAUUCAAAGUCGGAUUGGAUCAUAAAUAUACUUGGUCAUCCCGUUCCGGAGUGAAAUGAAAAUCGGAAUCCGAUUCCUAUAAAACAAACGGCAACUAUCGGAAUCAAUGAAUUUCAUUCCAAUUCUAUAGUCUAAAAUAGGUGAACCAAACAUGCUCUAAGUCUUUUCAUCAUGAUAUUGCACUUUUUACUGGAGCAGGAAUUGACAAUUAUAACCAAUAAUUUAAAUGAAUGCAUUCUUUAAAAUCAAGUUUUUACGUAUAAGUAUUUAUAAAAAUUAGGAAAAACUUCAAAAACCUCCUCUGUGGUUUCGUAGUUUCUCACUUUGCCCCCCCGUGGUUUAAAAUGUAUCAAUAUGCCCCCCUGUGGUUUCUUUUUUCUCUUUUUCAUAUUAAUUUUAUUAUUUUUUUUCCUUAAAUCAGUGAUAAAGUUAAAAUUAAAGGGUACUAAAGUGAAUAUUUGAUAAAUCUAGAUGGGUGUCUGAAGUUUUUUAUAUAUAAUUUAAUGAAAUAUUAACGAAAAAGCUAUCGAAAAGAUAAAAAUAAAACCACAGGGGAGCAAUUUGAUACAUUUAAACCACAUGGGGGCAAAGUGAGAAACUAUGAAAUCACAGGGGGGGUUUUUGAAGUUUUUCCUAAAAAUUAAUUUAAGCAUCAUUAUAUAUGCUCUGGAUUAGGAGUGUAAUGUUAGCUGUGCCGGGACGGACGGACCGGGUUCCAAAAGAGAAGGGCCCCAAGGUUUUGUGCCCCUUCUAGGACCAGGUCCUAAGAGGGUCCUAGAGAGGAAGAGAGCCGAAGUUCCCAAAUGACCCCUCUCUUCGGAAAGAAAAAAAAAAAAAAAAUUAUAUACAUAUGAUUGUUUAAAAAAUGUUAUCAGGCUAUGCCGACCUAGUAGCAAACCUUGUUGCAAGGCCCGGACCCAGAGGCUCGGCACGGUCCCUACAUGACGCGGGCCACACUACGUCGGAUUGCAGGCCGCAAGGUGCGGCCGUGCCGUGCUGGGCCACGAGCGACAAGGGGCGUUUAGUUCAGCCCCUAAAACUUAUUUGAACUAUAGACUAUUUUAAAUUCACUUCCCAACCCUUCAAAAUUUUAUUUAAUUUGAAUCAGCCAAUAAUAUUUUAAUUUUAAAAUAUACGUUAAUUAUUUAUUUUAAUAAAUUUAUAAUUACGAGAAUUGCAUGAAAUAUAUUAAUUAAAUCUGAAAAGAUAAAUAAUGGAUUAAAAAUUUAAAAUCAAAGUAACGUUUAGUGACUCAAAUCAAACAAAUUAAUUAAAAGGUUGAAUAGUAAAAUCAAAAUUUUAAAAGAUCGGAUAGCCGACUCAAAAUGGCCCAUAGCUCAGAUAAGUUCUGUAUAGUUUUUCCUAAAUUUUAUUUCCGAUUAAAGAAUUGAAAGGAGAGUACGUACGUAGACUUUGUUUUUAGAUUUUUCUCAACAACUUUUCACAUCCAAAACUUGAUUUAGCCGUUAUACUUUCUUUGAAAUCUUUGUUUCCACAUGUUUAAUUAAGGCGUGUUUGGUUGUAUAUACAGUCCGAAAAAUAGUUUUUUGUGAAACAAAGUUUCGUGGGAAUUUUUUUUUUUUAUGUUUCUUAGUGUUUCAUUUGUAGAGAAAAAAAAGUAUUUUUUUAUCGAUAGUGGUUUGGUUGAAAAAAAAUCUACAUUCUUUAGGUUUAUUGAAAAAAAUAAUAAAUAAAAAUUUUUUUACCCAGCUUAAGUUCUCAUUUAUCGUUCAAAAAUCGGUAGAAAUUGUAAACACUCUGGUUUUCUUAAAUUCAUAAAAAAAAUUUCAAAAUAUUUUUUUACUGACUAAAUGAAAACACGAAAUUUUUUGAGAAAAACCUAGGGUGCUUUUGGUUCGCGCUAUCUUUUAAAGAUUUCUAAUAAUCCAAUAAGAAUAAAAAAAUAUGACGGUGUUUCGCUAAACGCACUAGGUAAUCUAGUUUGUAAUAUUGGAUUUACUUGGGAAUAAGAUUCACUCCAAAGUACUAAUCUCAUUCCCUUGAGGGAGAGUGGGUAUCCUCGUAUUAAUGGAUUGGGAUAAUCAUAAUAUAUCUAAUCUUUUUCUUUUUUUCUACCCGCGCGCCGGCUAAUUGAUAUUUUUUUUUUUACACUCUAACCUUAUAUCCCUCUCUAAACUUAUUUUUCUUUUUAAAAUUCAACUUUUUUUCUCUCUCUCUCUUUCUAAAAUUUCAACUCUCUCACUCCCUCUAAUUUCGACUAUAUUUUUUUUUAUUUUUUUAAUUAUGCUCUCUUUCUCUAACUUAUACUCUCUCUUCCUUUUUUCUAAAAAGAUGUUGAAACUUUUGGUAACAUUAUCUAGAAUUAAAUAAAUAAAUAAAUAAAUUAAUUGUAUAUUUUUGUAAUAUUAAAUAAUAUAGCUAAUUAAUAUUACCGUACGAAUCAAAUACAGAAAUUCUAAAUACUUAGUAAUAAAAUAAAUAAGAAUAAAAUUCUCAAAUAUUUUUUAUUCAUAAUAAUUUUUUGUGAACCAAACGCACCAUUGCGGUCAACUUUGUUAGAUUUAAUGCAAUUAAUUAUGUUGUCCACUUGAAAUUAAUUAGCCUUGCCAUGUCCCAUGUCAUAGUUUCCUGCAAAUUAAUUAAUCAGAGCACACAAGUUUGACUGAUUCCAAAUGGUCCUCAUCGAUCACUCAGGUCAAGUCAGAGGUCCCGCUAGUACUAGUGUUCAUCAUAGAAUUAAUAUAUUAGUGGUGCUUUUAUUGCCCUUUUUUUGUUUUUAGUACACGUUUCAACUUUAUAGUUGUAGAUGAGACUAAUUCUAAGUGGUGGUGCAGGUAUUGUUUUGAGCUAGACUACUGUACUAUCUAUCGGUAGCACAGAGCGUUCUGUACUAGCAAAUUAUUUUUGAUGAUAUGGCUUCCAAAUCGACGAUCGACUCCGUUAGAGUUGAUCUACAUUAUUGAAAGUAUUUAGAAACUAAAUUUCAUAAUUUUUCGAUAUUAUUUACCUAUCAAACAAGUAGUCUAAAAGUGAACGGUUGAAAAUAAAAAUCUCAUAAAAAAUGAUGAUAAAAGAUUUAAAUUCAAGAUCAGGUAUACUGAUCUUACUCUAAAUAGUGAAAAGAAUUUUCUAUAAAAUUUUCAUUGCAUUUGGAUUGUUUUACACCGUUAAACUCACAAACACACCACAUCGGUUAUUAAAAUUGUCAAUUUCGAGAUCUUUUGAUCACUAGUCAAAUAAUGUACUUUCAAUAGUGUAGAUCAAGUCUAACGAAGUCGAUCGUCAAUUUAGAAGCCGCAUCAUUAAAAACAACUUGGUAGCACGGAGCGGAGCGCUCCGUGCUAUCGAUAGUAUAGUAGCCGAACUCUAUUGUUUUUCUCCCCAUCUUUUAUUCCACAAACUUUGCCUUUUCAUUAAUAAUUAAUAGGCCCUUGGCAUCUAAAAGUCAAGAGAGAUGGAGAAAUGCAUUAUAAGAGCAUCAAAUCUACAAGGGCAAAUAUGAGGAGGGAAACAAGAAGCAGCACUCAUGGUGGAAAGGCUCUUUUUUCUUCAACUGUUUUGCCUCCUCUUCCUCCUCACUUGUGUCGGCGUUGCAGAAGGCCGCAAGAAUCACGUCAGCUGCCCUUCGUCGUGCGGGCAUCUCCACGACAUCGGCUAUCCUUUCCGUUUGAAGAGUGAUCCGCCAGGAUGCGGAUCCCCAAGCUACGAGCUUCUCUGCGACGGCGGCAAACCUAUGCUGGAGCUGGGGUCGGCAAAGUACUACGUGACCAACAUCUCGUAUGCCAACCAGACUAUCAGUGUGGUUGAUCCUGUGUUUGUAGAUGACAAGUAUUGCCUUCUUCCUAUCCAAUCUCCACCUGCUAAUUUAUCGCAUUUGUAUUUCAACGUCGGAGAACACGGAGCUCUCUUUGCGAACUGCACGGGGCCAAUCGACGACGACAUGUACCGGAGCGUGCCUUGCUUGAGCAGUAACAACACAUUUGUCUAUGUAGUAGUUGAUACCUGGGAAUUCUUUGUGAAAUCUUUUGAGCCCUCAUGCGGAUUUCUGGCCUGGAUUCCUAUGCCCGCCGAUCAUGUCACGAACCCGACCGCCACCGAUGUCUUUGAGCUCUUAAAAGAAGGAUUCACACUUUCUUGGGAUGUAGGCCCUGGAUCAAAAUAUGCCAUAAUAUUAGCGGAUGUACCUGAAUGCUUGGAAAGAGCAAAAAGGUAAGAAACACUACCGUAUGUACGUAUAUAAAUUAGAGUUCACCAGUACUAUAUAUUCACUACCAAUCCUACAUGCAAUUUCAAAUUUAGUUAUGUGUAAAAGGAAAUUCCUUUGUUAGAAGACCUAUAGUUUUUCAAUACCUCAUGCUACUACAGGGCUAAACUCAUUUGCAACAUUUGCCAAAGAUUUAGUGUAAAGCUAUAAAAUUAUAUGAAAUAAUUACUGUUCUCCAAAGGAUAUUAAGUUAUAAUUAAGAGAAUGGUGUUCCUAAUACUUUGGCUUAAUUAAUUAUACUCCAUUAUACUUUACUUUGUAGGCUUUUUUCUUUUACUUUCUACAUUGUACUAAUUAUUUUUUCAAAUAUACAAUCAUUUUAUUAUAUUUUAUCAAUCUCUACAUUAUAUUUUAGAUCUAUUUUUUAUUUCUAUCCUGUACUAUUUUCUUUUCGAUCUCUUAAAUAUCUCUAAACUAUUUUUUUUCUUACCAAUCUUUACACUACCAUUUAAAAUGAUCAACAUUACCAGUAAUAAAUCUAUUAUUUUAGAUAAAACCUAGACUUCAUUAAGAUGCUUUGAUUAAAUAGAAGAAAAAUAUGGAAAAUGAAUCUCCAUGAUAAACUCAUUGAAAAUUUUUAUUAAAUCAUUUCUAACUAUUGGUUUGUGGUUUUAUAUAUGAAUUUGCUAUUUUUUGUGUUGAAAUGAUCUAAAUAAAUUAAUGCUCUACUGCUUUCAAUCAGUUUGUUUUAAUAGCUUUUAUUUAAAAUUAUAGAUUUAUUGCUUAUAGUGUAUGAUGUUUAAAAAGGAGGAUAUGUAGUUGACUAGUGUGUAUUUGGAAAAAAAAAGGAUAGUUAAGUGGUGUAUUUGAAAAAAAGAAGAAGUAUAGUAUAGAAAGUGAAAAAAAUCUAUAAAGUAUAGUAUAGUACAGUUAGGAAUGCAAACGGAUCCGGGUUGUUGGAGCUUCCGCCCUGAUCCACCCCGAUGGGAUAUUAAAUGGAAGAAAAUAAACGGAUUCGGGGUGGAAAACGGGGUAAAUUUUACGAUCUGAGACGGAUUCGGGCCAGGAAAUGGAAGAAGUUUAGACCCGCCCUGAAUCCGCCCCGAAUUCGCCCCGCCAUGAUCUGCCCCGAAUCCGCCCCGAAUCCGCCCCAAAAAUUAUUUUUAUUUUAAAAAAAUAUUCUUAAAAAGUAAUGUAUUUACAAAAAAGUUCAAAAUACAAAUAAAUUAGUACUCUCAUUUCUAAUGUAUUUGAAACUUUUGAAUUUUAUUUUGAAUUGUAAUUGUUAUUUUUUAUUUUUAUAAUUAAUAUUGUUAAAUUAUAUAUAUAAUAUUAUUAAAAAUUAUUAAUUUAUAUUUUAUAAAAUAUUAAUAAUAUUAUAAUUUUAUAAAAAAUAUUAGUUGGUGGAACGGAUUCGGGGCGCCCGCGGGAGGCGGGUUACGAGACGGGGCGGAUUAUGAAAUGUAUUUUUUAACCCGUCACGGAUUCGGAGCAGGAGAGGAGACGGGAUUUUGCUAGUCGGGGCGGGAGGCGNACAAUAGUUAUUUUGUUUUUCAAAAGCUUAAGUUUAAAAAAAACAAUAUUUUAAUAUUUUUUAUAUUCAACAUAAGUUUCAAGCUUCAAGCAAUAUUGGUUUCAACUACAACAUCUUGGCCUUUUCUUCUUCUUUUUUUUUUUAAAUUAUUUUUUAAAGAACAUUAUGUUUCUUCCUUUUAUCCAUCCCACAAUUUUUGCAUUUUUUUCUCCGAUUUCAUACGCUUUAAGUUUCAAAGUCAUCAUAUUCUUUGACUUGUCCUUUGGUUGACAACUUGUUUUAUGUACAGCAACAACUACUUAACCAGGCAUAGGUUUUUUUUCUUUUAUUAGAGUUCAAAAUUCUACAAGAAUGAAAAGAAAAAUACGAUUAAAUUAUCCUAAAAUAUACAUAAUUAGUUUUCAUUCUGCAUGAACCAGCAUACAUUAUAUAAUGUCAUAUUUUGCAGCAAGUUUGCGAAUUUGACCCACAGCGAAGGGCUUCUCAUCCUGCCAUACUCGUUGGUUAAAAGCGAGGUCAAUUUCUUAAACUGUAUGAACGAUCGUUUAAGCAGCAAUCACUAUUUUCGCUAUGCGGUGGCUGUGGUUGUCGUAAUAGAGAUUGCGCAGCUUUUACUAGGUAAACCGACCAGAUGAUUUAGCGACAAGUGACAAACUGAUUUUUUUUUUUUUUUUUUUUUUUUUUUUUUUUUUUUUUUUUUACCUCCUCUCUAAUCAACUAACUUAUGUGAUUUUUUUUUUCAGCAUUAUGGAUGUUAGGGAGGUUCGUUUUUGCACCAAUUUCGCUUCUCAUUUUACUGGCUUAUAAGUUAUGGAUCAGUCAUGUGUCUAUUGACAUUGUAGAAAAGUUUCUCCGAGACCAGCAAAUGCUCUCACCUACGAGAUAUUCCUACACUGAUAUCAUUGCGAUUACGGGCCACUUUAGAGAGAAGUUGGGACAAGGAGGAUUUGGGUCAGUCUUUAGAGGUACACUGUUAAGUGGGCAACAUGUUGCUAUCAAGAUGCUCGGAAAUUCUCAAUUUAACGGAGAAGAUUUUAUCAAUGAGGUCUCAACAAUUGGUAGGAUUCACCAUGUAAAUAUAGUGCGGCUUGCUGGUUUUUGCUCAGAAGGAUCAAAAAGGGCUCUUGUUUACGAGUACAUGCCUAAUGGAUCAUUAGACAAGUAUAUCUUCUCGGCAAAAGGAACUAGUAAUAGACCCUUUUCUUGGGAUAAGCUCAAUGAAAUAGCACUUGGGGUGGCUCGGGGUAUCGACUACUUGCACCGAGGAUGCGACAUGCAAAUUUUACAUUUCGACAUCAAACCGCAUAAUAUUCUUCUAGACCGCCAUUUCAACCCAAAAGUUUCAGAUUUCGGACUCGCAAAGUUGUACCCAAAGGAUUAUAGUCUAGUUUCUAUUAGUGCAGCAAGAGGAACCAUUGGAUAUAUUGCUCCGGAAUUGGUAUCAAGGAACUUUGGGAUUGUAUCUGACAAAUCUGACGUCUAUAGUUUUGGAAUGCUAUUAUUGGAGAUGGCGGGAGGCAGAAGGAAUGUGGAUCAGAUGAUGGAAAAUACAAGCCAAUUUUACUAUCCUUCUUGGAUCUACGACCGACUUACACAGAACAAUGAGAUAAUUGAAAUAAAUAACAAUAUUGAGAUUCAUGAAGUAGAAAGCAAGCUAUGUAAAGUGGGGUUAUGGUGCAUUCAGAUGAAAUCGUCAAAUCGCCCUUCUAUGAACAAAAUUGUAGAGAUGUUGGAAGGGGAUAUGGAUAACUUGCAAAUGCCGCCAAGGCCCUUCUUUUCAUCCUCACAGCAGAUCUCCGCAAGGCAAUCUUGUAUGCAAUCCACUUCAACAGAAUUAUCGACCAUUUCCGAGCAGGAAGACUAAUCAAAUUUGGACCAAUAAUAUAAAGGAUGUAAACUUUGUUAGUUCACUUACUCAAAGUGAUGAAAUUGAUAUUAAGAUUGUGAUUAGGGUUAAUUUUUCCUAACCUCAAAGAGAUUUAUUUAUAUCAAAGAGUUUUUACAGUAAAGUCCCUAACAUAAUGUAAAAUUACAAAAUUACAAAAGUAAUGUAAAAUUAUAAAAGAAUAGUCAACACUCCCCCACAAGAUGGUGCAUAGAUAUUUCUCAUGCCCAUCUUGUACACAAUGUUAUUGAAGACUGCUCUACCAACUCCUUUAGUGAGAAUAUCAGCUAAUUGAUCACUUGACUUCACAAAUGGAAUGCGUAAGCUACCCUUUUCCAAAUUCUGUUUGAUAAAAUUCCUAUCGAUCUUGAUGUACUUUGUUCUGUCAUGUUGUAUCGGAUUGUGAGCAAUAUUAAUAGCUGCUUUAUUGUCACAAUAUAGUAUUGAUGGUUUCUCAUCUGCCAUAUUAAGCUCUUGCAUAAACCUUCUAAGCCAUAGAAUUUCACUAACACCUUGAGCCAUAGCUCUAUAUUCAGCUUCUGCACUAGAUCUGGCCACUACAUCUUGUUUUUUGCUUCUCCAAGUAACCAAAUUUCCACCAACAAAGGUACAAUAUCCAGAGGUUGAUCUUCUAUCAUCUGGAGAUCCAGCCCAAUCAGCAUCAGUGAAGGAUUCAAUCUUCAAAUGGCCAUUUCUAGAAAAUAAAAGUUCUCUUCCUGGAGCUGACUUCAAGUAUCGUAGAAUACGAUAAACAUCCUCCAAAUGCGAUAUUCUUGGGUCAUGCAUAUAACGGCUAACCACACUAACUGCAUAAGAGAUGUCAGGUCGUGUGUGAGAUAAGUAUAUCAAUUUACCUAUUAACCUCUGGUAUCUUUCUUUGUCAACUUCUUUUCCGAUUUUACUUUGCAACCGAUAAUUCACUUCUAUUGGCGAAUCAACUGGUUUACACCCUAACAUUCCAAUCUCUUGAAGUAAAUUCAGCACAUAUUUUCUUUGAGAAAUAAAAAUUCCUUUCUCAGAUCUCGCCACCUCAAUUCCUAGAAAGUACCUCACACUUUCAGUAUUAGAUUUGUUUAAGUUUUAUUUUAAAAUCAGGAUUAUAGGUUCAUAACUUUCAACAGACUCAAGAAUCUGCUAUUAAUUAUCUCACACUUUCAGUAUUAAGAAACUCUUGAUUAAGAGACCGAAUAAAAAUGCUGAUAAUAAAAGAGACGAAAUAGACAAAAAAAAUUUUAUUAAUAUAAUUUGUCGUGUAUAUUGCUUAAACAGGGACAUAUCCCCACUAAACAUGAAUUAUAUAAAACUAGAAUACUCAGUUUAUAGAUUGACUUGGUCGUCGAUCGGGAUCGAGUUGAGGUUGAAUUUAAUUUUAAUUUGCACAGUUUAACGACUUGUCGGUAAAAAAAGUUUGAUUUGUUUGCUCAGUUUAACGAUUUGGCGGUCAAUUUGAAUUUGAAUUUAGUUUAGCAACUUGACAGUCAAAUGCUUAGUUUAACGACUUGACGGUCAGAUGUUCAGUUUAACGACUUGAUAGUUAUAAAGAGUUUAAUAUGAUUUGCUCAGUUUAACGACUAUAUAUAUAGGCUAGAGCUACUAUCCUAUUAAUAGGAUUGGAGUACUUGUCCUAUCAAAUUGUUUUUGAUUAUAGAGAUUCCGAAUCGAUGAUCGGAGCCGUUGAAGUUGAUCUAGAGUAUUUGAAAUAUCUAGAAACUAAAUUUUAUAAAUUUUAAAAAUUAUUUACAUGGUGAUCAAAGUGUCGUAAAAUCGACAAUUUUUGACGGCCUAUAUGAGCCGUUUGCUUGUUUAACGGUGUAGAGUAAUCCAAAUUGCUUGAAUUUUUGAUAGAAAAUUCUUUAUACUAUUUAGAUAAUGUUUGAUAACUCUGAUUAUGAAUUGAGAAAGUCUAACCUCUAUUUUAAGAAGGAUAUUCAUUUAUGACCAUUCAUUUUUGAACUUUUAAGAUGAACUUGAUAAUGAUUUUUAAAUAUUACAAAAUUUGGUUUCUAAACAUUUCUAAUUGUGUAGAUCAAUUUCAACGGUGCCGAUUAUCAAUUUGAAGUUCCGAUCAAUCAAAACAACUUGAUAGGACAAUGGCUCCAAUCCUAUUAAUAGAAUAGUAGCCGGACUAUAUAUAUAGUGCGUUUGGUAUGCUUCUGGAAACAUGGAGCGCUCUGUGUGCUUCCAAGUUAUUUUCGAUGUUCGGACUUUCGAAUCGAUGAUCGGCUCCGUUAGAGUUGAUCUAGAGUAUUUGAAGUAGCUAGAAAAUAAAUUUUGUGAUUUUUCGAUAUCAUUUGCCUAGUGAUCGAAGGGGCUCAAAAUCAAUAAUUUUAACGGCCGUGGUGAGCCGGUUGCAAGUUUAACGGUGUAGAAAUAUCCAAAUCACAUUAAAAUUUUGAUAGAAAAUUCUUUAUACCAUAUAAAACAAGAUCAAUAACUUUGAUCUAAAAUUUUAAUGUCAUAUCAUCAUAUUUUGUAAGAUUUUUAUUUUCAGCCGUUGAUUUUGAGCCAUUUCGAUCACUAGGCAAAUGAUAUCGAAAAAUCGCAAAGAAAUUUAGUUUGUUAGAUACUUCAAAUACUCUAGAUCAAGUCUAACGGAGCCGAUCGUCGAUUCGAAAGUCCGAACAUCGAAACAACUUGGAAGCACGGAGCGCUCCGUGCUUCCAGACAGACCGCACUAUAUAUAUAUAUAUAGAGUAGGGCUAGAAUACUUUUACAAGUAUCAACCCAAGUGAUACUGUGUGUUUUUAGCCCUUGGAUGGAGAGAUGUGAGGUGAAAUGAUGGGGGUAGGUGGUGGUAGGUGGUGGUAGGUGGAAUAAUGUUUGCGAUCCAAGGGCUAUUUGUAAUCAAAAAGUAGAUCCAAUGGCUAAAACACGUGAUAGCAACAUGAGGAGUGAUACUUAGUAAAGAGUAUUCCUAGAUAAAACUCUAUAUAUUAUAUAUAUAUAUAUAUAGUGUGUUAACUAUACUUUCGAAAGUACCGAGGACCUUUCGUGCUUGGUAAGUUUGUUUUCUAUGAAUAAAUGACAUCCGAUUCCCGAAUCGGCUCCGUUAGGUUAAUCUAUCUAGUUGGAACUAAUCUAGAACCAAAUUUUCAAUAUUUUUGAUCAUCAUUAGCUAAGGCGAUCAAUAAGGUCCCAAAAAUGUCUAUUUUAAUGCGAUGCGGUUACAUUUUUAAGUUCAACGGUAGUGAAAUAUCCAAAUUACAUAAAAUUUAAUAGAAAUUCUACUAACGUGCAAUAGCAAGAUCAAUACUUCUGAUUUGAAAUUUGAGUCAUUUAUCUACAUUGUUUUUUUAGUGAGAUUUUAUAUUUCAGGCGUUCAUUUUUGAGGCUACUUGUUCAGUAGGCAAACAAAGUCAAAAAAUUAAUGAAUUUGAUUCUGAGAUAGCUUCCAGAUAGCGUAUAAUCAUGUCUAACGAAAGCCGAUCCACGCGAAUUGGACGUCCCUAUCAUCGAAAAUAACUUAUUAAGUACGGAGGCCCCAUACUGUCGAAAGCAUAGGAGUCAUAAACUCUCUCUCUAAAUAUAUAUAUAUAUAUAUAUAUAUAUAUAUAUAUAUAUAGUGAGGCUACUAUGCUUCUGGAAGCACGGUGCCUUCCGUGCUUCCAGGUCGUUUUUGAUGUUGCGACUUUCGAAAUGUCGAUCAGCUCCGUUAAACUUGAUCUAGAGUAUUUGAAAUACCUAGAAAAUAAAUUUUGCAAUUUUUCGAUAUCAUUUGCCUAGUGAACUAAGGGGCUCAAAAUCAACGGCUGAAAAUAAAAAUCUUACAAAACGUGAUAAUAUGACAUUAAAAUUUUAGAUCAAAGAUAUUGAACUUGUUUUAUAUAGUAUAAAGAAUUUUCUAUCAAAAUUUCAUGUGAUUUGGAUAUUUCUACACCGUUAAACUUGCAAAUGGCUCAUCAUAGCCAUUAAAAUUAUUAAUUUUGAGUCCCUUCGAUCACUGGGCAAAUGAUAUCGAAAAAUCAUAAAAUUUAUUUUCUAAGUACUUCAAAUACUCUAGAUCAAGUUCAACGGAACCGAUCGACGAUUCCAAAGUCGCAACAUCGAAAACGACCUGGAAUCACGGAAGGCUCCGUACUUCCAGAAGCAUAGUAGCCUCACUCUAUAUAUAUAUAUAUAUAUAUAUUUAUAUAUAUAACUAGGCUGGAAUACUAUUAAUAGCCACAAUGACUUGGUGCUAUUAAUUUUUCUGCACUUGGAUUAAAAGAUGUGCGGUUAAGAUGAUGUGGGCCCCCUAGGGUUGAGUGGGUGGUUAGUUGAAUAGUAUAAUCGAACGGAUGAAAAUAAUAAAAGAGGUGAAUCUAACGGCAGAAAAUUUAAUAGCACCAAAUACUUCGUGCAAUCGAUAGUAUUCCAGCCGGACUAUAUAUAUAUAUAUAUAUAUAUGCUAGGGCAACUAUACUCUUAUGAGUAUAGAGCCCUUCAUACUUAUAAGUUGUUUCCAAUGAUGGAGCUUCCGAAUCAACGAUCCACUCCGUUAAAUAUGAUCUAGAGUAUUUGAAACUUCUAGAAAAUAAAUUUUGCAAUUUUUCGAAAUCUUAAAAAGUUCAUCAAAUGAGUAUAAAAUGAAUGGUCAAAAUCGAACGAUGUCUUAAAAAUGGAUGAUCGAAUCCUUCAAUUUAAGAUCGGAGUUAUUGAUCUUUAUCUAUGUAGUGAUUAGAAUUUUCUAUCAAAAAUUCAACUGAUUUCGAUUCUUUUACACCGUUAAACUAGUAAGUAUUUCAUAUCGGCCAUUAAAAAUUGUCAAUUUUGUGACCUUCUGAUCGUAAGGUAAAUGAUGUCGAAAAUUAUAAAAUUUGAUUUCUAGACGUUUUAAAUGCUCUAAAUAAUGUUUAACGAUAUGGAUCGUCGAUUCGAAAGCUCUAUCAUCAAAAACAACUUAUGAGUACGAGGGCGAUCGUACUCAUAAAAAUAUAGUAGCCGGACUAUAUAUAUAUAUAUAUAUAUAUAUAUAUNNNNNNNNNNNNNNNNNNNNNNNNNUUCCAAAUUGACGAUCGGCUCCGUUAAAUAUGAUCUAAACCAUUUAAACUAUCUAGAAAUCAGAUUUCACGCACUUUCAAUAUUGUUCUUUUAUCCAUCUAGUGAACAGAAACUGAAUGGCUGAAAAUAAAUAUUCUUUAAAAAAUGAUGAUAGGAGUCAUGUAAUCAAGAUCAAGAGUAUAGAUCUUAUUUUAAAUAGUUUAAAGAAUUUUCUAACAAAAAUUCAAUUGAUUUGGAUAUCUUUAUGCCGUUAAACGAGAAAACGUCUCUUAUCCACCAUUAAAAUUAUAAAUUUUGAAACCCUUUGAUCAUUAGGCAAAUGAUGUCGAAAAGAUUUGAAAUUUGAUUUCUAAAUACUUUAAGUGGUAUAGAUCAUGUUCAACGGAGCCGAUUGUCAAUUUGGAAGCUCUAUCAUCGAAAACAACUCGAUAGUAAAAUGCUCCGUUUACUAUCGAGAGUAUUCUAGCUCAACUCUAUAUAUAUAUAUAUAUAUAUAUAGUGCGUCUAAUAUACUUUCGAAAGUACGGGAACCUCCGUGCUUGUAAGUUAUUUUCGAUGAUAGGAUAUCCGAUUUGACGAUCGGCUCCGUUAGGUAUAAUCUAUCCUAUUGAAACUAUCUAGAAACCAAAUUUUAUAAUUUUUCGACAUCAUUUACUAAGCGAUCAAAAUGUCCCAAAAAUAACUAUUUUAAUGGCCGAUGCGCCACGUUUUUAAGUUCAACGGUGUAGAAGUAUCCAAAUUACAUGAAAAUUUAAUAGAAAAUUCUACUUAACGUCGUCAAUAGCAAGAUCAAUACUUCCAAUUUGAAAUUUGAGUCCUUUAUCAUUGUUUUUUUAUGAGAUUUUUAUUUUCAGCCGUUCAUUUUGAGGCUACUCAUUCACUAGACAAACAAAGUCAAAAGAUUAUGAAAAUUAGUUUCUAGAUAGUUCCAAUAGCGUAGAUCAUGUCUAACGAAACUGAUCGCCGAAUCGGAUGUCCCAUCAUCUAAAACAACUUACAAGCACGGAGGCUUCCGUACUUUCGAAAGCAUAGGAGCCUAGCUCUCUCUCUCUCUCUCUCUCUCUCUCUCUCUCUCUCUAUAUAAUUAAAUUUAUAUAUAUAUAUUAAUAUGUAGAUCUGGCUGGUAUACAAUUGAUAUUAGCACUAGGGAAUUUGUUUGUUUCAACGUAAGUAGACUUGGGUGAGAGUAGACUUGAGUUGAGUUAGAGUUGGUUGAAAUAGUUUCACUUGUCGGACUGUUUUUUUUAAUUGUGAAGUGCAGUUCUGCAGUUUGUUGUUUAUUUAGUAGGAGUAGUAUAUAACAAGUGCAGCUCUCCCCCGGUAUCGUUACCUCCAAAGCCGAUUCAUUGUAUUUUGUAACUUAUAUGAAUAAUAAUUAUAAUAAAUAAAAUUAAAUUAUUUUAUGUAUAUAAUUAAUUUAUAUGUUUAUAAAAAAAAUUUAAAAAUUAUAUUUAUUUGUUCUGUAUAUUAAAUUACUCUAAAUAUGCCACACGAAAAUUAAUUUCUAAAGUUAAAAAAUUAUUAACAUUUAACAAAUUCAUUUUUCAUCAUUUUCUAAAUAUAUAAAUUAAACAAAAAAUAUAUUAAAGCUUACCUAAUCAAAUUUGAUCAUAUUUUAGAAGAGAUAACCCUAACACAUUAAUCUAUUCUUGCAUUUUUUUCACUUCACCGGAAUUGACUUCGCCCCAUAGGAGGGCGAAGUCAAGUUCAUUAUUUUAGGUGAACUGGACUUUCGAGCGUAAUAAAAUUACGGUGAACCAAACAGCGGAAGUGGUCAGUUUUCACUGAAAAACACUUCCCCCGUCCCAUUUCCACCCCACUUCCCUCGAAACAAACAAGCCCUAAGCGUUUGGUGUUAUCAUGAUUUUCACCGAUAGAUUUAAUCCCUUGACUAUUUUCACCCAUUAGAUUAUAUUAUUAAACCAAUAACUUACUCAACCUUAGGGAGCCCACAUCAUCUUAACCGUACAUUUUUUCAUCUAACAGCCGAAAACUUAAUAGCACCAAUAACUUGGUGCUAUUAAGUUUUUUACCCUUGGAUUAAAAGAAGUGCGGUUAGGAAGAUGUGGGCCCUCUAGGGUUGAGUGGGUGGUUAGUUAAAUAGUAUAAUUGAACGGAUGAAAAUGAUAAAAGAGGUAAAUCUAACGGCAGAAAAUUUGAUAGCACCAAAUAUUUCGUGCUAUUAAUAGUAUCUCAGCCGGACUAUAUAUAUAUAUAUAUAUAUAUAGAGAGAGAGAGAGAGAGAGAGAGAGAGAGAGAGAGAGAGAGAGAGAGAGAGAGAGAGAGAGUGUGUGUGUGUGUGUGUGUGUUAGGCUCCUAUGCUUUUGAAAGUAUGGAAGCCCCCGUACUUGUAUGUUGUUUUCAAUAAUGGGACAUCUGAUUCAUCGAUCAGUUCCGUUAGAUAUGAUCUACGCUAUUGGAACUAGCUAGAAAACAAAUUUCAUAAUUUUUUUGACUCUAGUACAUAUUUUUUUCCUUCAAAAUGCUAUAUGUAUAUAAUUUGGACAGAGAUUAAUUAGACUAUGUUUUGCAUCCUUAUGUAUCUGACGGAUCUAUUAGUAUAUCCUGAGACUUUCGACGUUACCCAGGGUGUGAUAAAUCUAAGUUGGUAUUGGAGCCUAAUAAUGUGUUAAGUGAACUUAAUAAAUCAUAGGCUUUUGGCAAACCUCUUAGCCUUUGUUUGGUUGGGGGUUAAGGGGUGGAAUAACCCCUUAACCCCCAUAUUAUUCCCAAACACUCUAAAAAUGGAUGGGGUUAGCUAACUCCAUCUCAAAUGGGCUAUUCCGGGUUAGCUAAUCCCAUCUAAUCCCACCAAACUCCAACAAAAUAUUAUUUUCUAUUCAUAAUAACCCACUAUCCUUCUUAUCCCACCUACUCCAAUCAAACACUACUUUUCACUAUCCCACUAUCCUUCUUAUCCCACCUACUCCAACCAAACAUUAUUUUUCACUAUUCUGGACUAACUCCAACCCUCAACCAAACAUAAAAAUACUCUAACCCCACCUUCACUCUGAACUUAACCCUAUUCCUGGAAUAACUAGUUUUUUUCUUAACUCCGAACCAAACGAUAAGAAUAUAAGACCAUGAGUGAUGUGACUUACAACAGAAUUCAGUAAAUUGGACUAUGUGAAAUUUUCAAAAAUCUAUUAAAAGUAAUCGAGUAUGUCUUGUCUUUUUAUCCUAGAUAAUUAUAUUGGCUGUAGACAAUAUAAUUAAUAUCAUAGAUAGAAAUGGGGAUGUCCUACUAAACUUUUGCUUGAUUGUGAUGAGUUGUGUGUUAUAGUAUAAUUAAUAUUGAUCUGUUCCAAGUAACUGAGAUGGGGCAAUGUGUACGGCAUUUUUUCUUUAUUUUGUAGUGCUGGUUUUCUUUUCGGGCCAAGAGUAGACUCGAAGAGAGUAGCUCAGUUGCUCUCUAAUAAGCCUAUUAUUGUUCUUCCUAACUAGUACUUUCAAUCAUACUUUAGAUCACAAAUUGUUGAAAUAAGGGUUUGGUGGUUGGUACCCGAGAUUCAAAUUCGAAUUUUAUUUAAUUUAUAUUUUCAGUUAAAUUUAUUUCUAAAUAAAAUAAAUAAAACGGAUAGAGUACUAUCUAUUUCUAAAAAAAAAAUAUAAAUUGUUAAAACAAUGUCCAAUUUCAGAACCAAAAAUCAAAGAAUUUUCUAAAGAAAGUCGGCAGUAAUUACACGCAUAUUUGUUUCGGCAAUAGGUCAAGAAAGUCUUUGAAGGCCAUUAAGAAUCCUGCCCUGAGUGAGACUCGUCAAAAUAGGCCCCCACUUCUUGUCACAAAGUUAUUUUUCCAAGAAGAGCAAUAAUAAUGGCACGAAGAAGACCCUCGUCACAUUGUCAAGGGCAGCCAUAUUUGACCAAAUCAACUCGCUACACAAGAAAACUUGCUAGACAAGAACAAUGCGUGUAAGCUGCACAUCCGAAAAUUAUAAAAAAAAAAAAAAAUCAACAACAACAACAACUGUAACAAANUAUGGCAGUUCCAAGAGAUAAAAAAAAAAAAAAAAAAAAAAAAAAAAAACACAGAUUGCAUAGGAACUAGGAACUAGAGUUCGAAGUUUAUUAAAUAAGAGAGGUUUAAUUAGACUUACUAUACUAUAUUUUAGUGUUAUUUUUACUUGUAAUAUUAUGCUACUCUUUUUUUUCAAUUUUUUGUAUUAUCAUAUUUUAUCAAUUUUUUUCUCUCCCUUUAUAUAUAUUACAUUAAAAAUAUAUUAUUUUAUUAUUGACUUUGCCGAGUUAUUAUAUCCGAAUCAUAUCGUAUGUAUUCCGAGUCUCCUAUCCAUGUCCCGGUAAUAUAGCCAAUAAUUGACUAAUUUAGUUGGAAAUACGUACAUUUAUUAAAGAUUCUUUCCCACUGAGGCCCUCUGCAUCACAGAUUUGCAAUGCCUCCUACGCUUGUUGCUAUUCUGUUAGCUCUGCUUCUCCUUGCUGCCGGGAGGAGAAACAUAACCGUCUCAGGAAAUGAUGCAGACGACGAUUUCUUCGAGAAAUGCCCGGCUUCGCGGUGCGCGGAAGGCGGCCUGGAUAUCAGAUUUCCGUACCGGCUCGACUCGAGCCCUUCGUACUGCGGCGCUCCAGGAAUGGAGCUCUCGUGCUCGGGCAACGACACUCUCCUAGCGCUCCCGCAUGCAGGAUCUUUCAACGUGACUGCGAUCGACUACCGCUACGGUGAAAUCACGAUCAAGCUGGGAGGUUCGUGUUUACAUGGCUUGACGGGAAACCUGCUGGGAUUCGACAAUCUAACCACGACGUCGGUGUAUCGACCAAUGGACAGUCGGGACAUCAGCUUGCUGCGCUGCCCAAGAAAAUGGACACCAGACGAAGACUAUUUUACCGCCGGCCCGAUCUCUUGCCUGAGCACUGUAUCGCAAUUUGUCUAUGUAGUGGCCAUCUAUGAUUAUGCUGCCAGUCUCCCUUCGGAUUGUCGGGUGAUCGCAGCCGAUCGUAGCAUUUCCUUUCGACGCAUGACCGAAUCCGAUUCCAAUUGGCCAACCUUCGACGAAAGGGUGGCCGAUCUCAUAACACGCGGCGAGGUGACUCUAGUGUGGCAUGUUGCCCAAAUAACUGAUACAUGCAUCCGCUGCGAGAAGGCGAAGAAGUACUGCGGAUUUAGCUCGGUGACCAACCAACCAUUCUGCCGACAAGGUAUAUAACAUUCGGAUUCGCCGUUACCUUAUUUUGCAUCCAAUUUGCUGUCAUCUGACUACUUAUUCUUCUUCACUUCGCAGGUCCAAAUGUCAAGCUCAUCGCAGGUGCGUAUCUUAUUGAAAAUUUUGUUUCGGCAAAAGAUCUUCCACUUUACCUCAAAUUUUCAUCAACGCUGCAUGCGGUUUAAGCUUAUCCGCUUAGAAUGAGUUACGAAUUAAGUUCUUUUUCAUAAUUCACAUAUAUUUACGCAUGAUUAUAAUUGACUGUGAUUCUUGAAUUCUCUCUGCAGCAACAUCUUCCGCCGCAUUUGUUAUACUUUUGUUGCUUGUUGUAAUCUUAGUCUACUUCUUUAGACGAUCAAAAAGGGAAAAAGAAAUACGUUUGAAGGUGGAGAAAUUCCUCGCGUCGUACAACGCCAUAAAACCGACUCGCUACACCUUCUCGGAGCUCAAGAAGAUUACUAAAAGGUUCAAGAAUAAGUUGGGCCAAGGCGGUUUCGGAAGCGUCUACAAGGGCGAGUUAGCAAAUGGAAUUCCUGUUGCGGUAAAGAUGCUCGAGAGAUCGAAGUGGGACGGUCGAGAGUUCACCAACGAAGUCGCGACAAUCGGACGAAUUCACCAUUUCAACGUCGUUCGCUUGUUGGGAUUUUGCUCGGAAGGAACCACACAUGCGCUUAUAUACGAGUUCAUGCCAAAUGAAUCACUAGAGAAGUACAUCUUCUCUAAAAGUAGGAAUUCCCUUCAUGAGCCACUAAGGAUGGAGAAAUUGUUAGAGAUCGCAACAGGAAUUGCUCGGGGGAUUGAGUAUCUGCAUCAGGGGUGCAAUCAACGCAUCUUGCACUUUGACAUCAAGCCUCACAACAUCUUGUUGGAUCGCAAUUUCAACCCAAAGAUAUCCGACUUUGGUCUCGCAAAACUGUGCUCGAGAGAUCAAAGCAUUGUUACGAUGACCGCGGCAAGGGGCACGAUGGGCUAUAUCGCGCCGGAGAUGUAUUCGAGAAACUUCGGAGCGGUGUCCUACAAAUCGGACGUGUACAGUUUCGGAAUGCUGGUGAUGGAAAUGGUCGGCGGGAGGAGGAACGCCGAUCCUCGAAUUGAGAACCAAAGCGAGCUUUAUUUUCCGGAGUGGAUUUAUGAUCAACUAGUGAACGGGCAAGACAUUGGGUCUGCGAUAGAGAUAGCAAAUACAAGCGAAAUAGAGAUUGCGAAAAAACUCGCCGUUGUGGCGUUGUGGUGCAUACAAUGGGAUCCGAAGGAUCGGCCGUCGAUGACGAGAGUCGUGCAGAUGUUGAUCGGCGAUUCGCAGAACUUGCCAAUGCCACCGACACCAUUUGUGUCCUCACAGGUCAAGAUGUAAUUUUCACAGCUCCAAAUUAGUGAAGUAUAGGAGAGCGCGUUUGAACAUAUAGCUAGUAUUCGAGUUCAUAGUUACUUUGUAUCUAAUUAUACUUGUUUUAUUUUCCUUUCUACGAGCAAAAUUCGAACCUACGUCAUACUGCUCAGGAGAAGGGUACCUAUGAUCAAUUAUCUUAUGAAAUUGUGGUGGUCUAAUCUGGGAUUUGCUUUUGGCUUCUUUGUUUGCUUGAAUUGUUAAGUGUAUGACCCCUGUUGUUAUAGAUUUAAUUGUAUUAUGCUGUAUUAUAUUUUUUUAAAAAAAUUUAAAACCUUUUACACUGCACUAUUUUUUUUUUUUUUUCUAAGGCGCAUCACUGACGUAUUCUCUUCUUUUUUUCAUCUUUGCACAGUUGCACUAUUUGACUAACAUCUCUAAUUCUAAUGUAAACUAUUCUCUUAUGGAAAUAAAGAUCUCAAGAAGAAAAGUAUAACAGCUAAUAAAUCAAGAUUAAGGAAAAGGCAAGUUGUAGAGAAAAAUAUACGAAACAGACCACCCUCCGCACAGAAGGGCCCAAAUCACUUGAGUGGGCUUCAGACCCGGACCAAAACUAGAAGAAAUAAAGCCUGGUCCAAACACAAGAGCAAAGCCCGAUACCCAUCGGACCUUUUUACGCCGAUUUUUCAAUUAAAUUCUACUAAAAUAGAAGUAUAUAUAUAAAUAUGUGUACAAAAAUACAUAAGAAUCUUAUUUUAUAAAUACCAUUGGUUAAAUAGUGUAAUAGAAUAAAUAAUAGUAGAAUACAAUGCAUGUAUGGUAAUUAUUUAUGUGUUUGUGUGCACUGCCCUGCACACACACAUACAAAUAUACACAUGCACACGCGAACACACGAAUAUAGGUUCGCUGGUGCGGGAUCGGGCUGGUUAUGGUCGGCCCAAUUAGGCCCUAAAUUAUUUUGGGUCUAAAUUUUUGAGUCCGGCGCAAGCCCACAGUUGUUUCAAUGCCUGGCCCAAGAGGUCCAGUUCCACUCCUAACAGGAAGGAAUGGUUAGGGAUGCAAUUGUCAUUUCCAUUGUUAAUUAAUUUGCACCGUAUCUCUAAUUUGUAACCCAGAAGAUAUUUAUGAAACAAUCUAAAUAUUUACGGGGACACAUAUGAUAUAGCAAACUUACUGGAUUAAAGGUGUAAUGUAGGUUGUGCCGGGACAGACAGACUGAGUUCUAAAGCAGAAUUGUGCCAAAGUUCAAUGCACUUUUUAAAAUUUUAAAACUUGUGCUCCUUUUGGGACGAGGUCCCAAGGGGGUCCUAAGGAGGAAGAGAACCCAAGUUCCCAAAAUGACCCCUCCCUUAGGGCGGGUAAAUAAAAAAACAGAGAAGUCACUUUUUAAUAUUAAAACUAUAUAGUAGUUUUAAAAAAGUUAUUGGGCUGUGCGGGGCUGAUUAGCAAACCGGGAUGCAAGGCCUAGACCCAACAGCUCGGCACCGCAAGCACAUAAUGCGGGCCGGGCAGUAGUGUGUUGGGCUGCCUGCUGCCAGGUGCGGCCCAGCGUGGCCCGCGCCUUCUAGAGGGCUGUGCCAGGCUAGGCCACUAGCGACCUCCGGACGCACCCAGCACAGCCCCAAAACCUUACAUGAAGUUGAACUAUGAAUAAUUUUGAAUCAACUAUCUAAUUUUUCAAAAUUUUAUGUGAUUUUAGUCAGCCAACAGUAUUUUAACUUUAUAAUUUACGUUAAUUACUUAUAUUAAUAAAUUUAUAGUUAUGAGAAUUGUAUGAACUAUGAAGUACGCUAAUUAAAUCUGUAAAAAUAAACGAUGAAUUUAAAUUUUGAAGUCAAAGUACCGUCGACUAACUCAAAUCAAAUAAAUUAAAAGAUUAGAUAGUAAAAUUAAAAUUUUAAAAGAUUGGAUAACUAAUUCAAAAUGGUUUAUAGCUCAGAUAAGUAAGGUAUGCUUUUACCUAAAGUUUAUUUCCAAUUUUAGACAUGAAAGGAGAGUAGACUUUGUUUUCAUACUUACCUCAGCAACUUUCCUCUCCACAUGCAAGAGUCGAUUUAGCAGUUAUGCUAUUCUUGAAAUCUUUUGUUCUCACAGGCUAGCUUAGGGUGUGUUUGGUUUGUACAUCAAAUCGUAAAAAAUAAUUUUUUAUAUAAAAAAUUUUUCGUGAAAAAAAGUUUUAUGUUUUGUAUAGUAUUUGGUUUGUAGAAAUUUUUUUUUCAUCAAUAUUUAUUUGGUUGAACGAAAAAAAAAUCUACACUUGUUUGGUUUGGUGGAAAAAAAUGAAUGAAAAAAAAUUUCUACAGCUUGAGUUUUCAUUUUUCGUCGAAAAUCGGAGAAAAUGAAAAAAAAAAAAUCUGUUUUCCUCAAAUUCAUAAAAAUACUUUUUCAAAAAAAAAAUUAUGACUAAACAAGCACACGAAAAUAAUUUUUAAGUUGAAAUGUAAUUUUUGAUAUAGUUUACGGAAAAAACAAAUUAAACACACCCUCACUUGUUUGGUUUGGUGGAAAAAAAUGAAUGAAAAAAGUUUUCUACAGCUUGAAUUUUUAUUUUUCAUUGAAAAUCGGCGAAAAACGGAAAAAAAACUCUGUUUUCCUCAAAUUCGUAAAAAUACUUUUUCAAAAAAAAAAUUAUGACUAAACAAGCACACGAAAAAUAAUUUUCAAGUUGAAAUGUAAUUUUUGAUAUAGUUCAUGGAAAAAACAAAUUAAACACACUCUUAAUAUCCUUAGCUGAAAACGUGAAUCAACUAGAACUCAAACUUAGAACCUCGGGUACCAAUCAUCAAACUUUUUGCCACUUGCGCUAGAAACGAUCAGUACUUUUUGUUAGUUAAAUAGUACCAUCACAAUUAUGUUGUCCAUUUGAAAUUGAUCUCAACAGCUAUAUUUGGAGCCUUACCUUGUGAUACUUUUCUGCAGAUUAAUCAAACACGCUAGUUUGAUUGAUGCCAGAGGGGUUUCCUCACCCAAGUCAAGUCCGAGGUCAAUUCUAUCUCCUUCCCCAUGCACUAGUGUUGGUUCACCAUAGAAUUAAUUAGUGGUGUUUUUAUUGUCUUUUGUUUUUUUAUACACAUUGCAUGCAACUCUAUAGAUGAGACUAGUCAUAAGUGGUGCUGUUGUUGUACUUUUCCACAUCUUUAAUUUUAUUCCACAAACUUCGCUUUCAAGAAUUCAUGGACCCUUGCCAUCUAAAAGUCAAGGGACAAAAAAUGUUUUAUAAGAACAUGUAUCACACGACAUAGAAUUCUACAAGAGAAACUUUUGCCACCAACUGCCACUAUGAGGAGGUCUAGUCGACCUGUAAUCUCUCGUGAGGGAAUCAAGAAGCACUUCAACUGCUCGGCUUCUCGAUCGGAAUCUUGUUGUGUGAUGUUAUGCCUCCUCCUCCUCCUCCUCCUCACUUGUGUUGGCGUCGCAGAAGGCCGCAAGAAACAUGUCAGUUGUUUUUCGUCGUGCGGGCAUCUCCACGACAUCGGCUAUCCUUUCCGUUUGAAGAGUGAUCUGCCAGGAUGCGGAUCCCCAAACUACGAGCUUCUCUGCGACAGCGGCAAACCUAUGCUGGAGUUGGGAUCGGCAAAGUACUACAUAACGAACAUCUCGUACAAAAACAUGACCAUCAGUGUCAUUGAUCCCGUCUUUGUAAACGAUAAUAAAUAUUGCCCUCUUCCUCUCCAAUCUCCUCCGCCUGAUUUUUCAUAUCUGUACGACGACGUUGGAGGAUACUGGGCUCUCUUCGUGAAUUGCACGAGGCCGAUCCACGACGGCACGUACCAGCGCGGGCCUAAUUGCCUAAGUAGUAACAACUCAUUUGUCUAUGUAGUAGCUGAUAUGUGGGGCAUUGUGGAACCUAUUAAGCCCUCAUGUGGAUUUCUGGCCUCGAUUCCUAUGUCUGUCAGGCAGUUCAAUCCGAACAACACCGAUAUUUUUGAGCUCUUAAAGGAGGGAUUCAUGCUUUCGUGGGAUGUAGGCCGUGAGACAUCAUCUGCAAUCUUUCAUGAAUGCUUGAACGAAGCAAAAAGGUACAAAACACCACCAUAUAUAUAUAAAUUUGAGUUCGCGAGUCUUCAUUAAGUAUUGCUACCAAGCCUUCAUGCCAUUUCAAAUUUACUUUUGAGUUUAAAAGAAAAAAAUUCUUAGUUAUAAGAUAGUUUUUCAAAGGUUGAGCUAUACGUGCCGAAGAUUUAAUAUAGAUCUAGCUACUAAAUUAUACAAAAUUGUUUCCAAAAAAAGAAAACUUCAAAUACCCCCGUGGUUUCGCACUUUUUCACUUUAGUACCCUAUGGUUUAAAGCGUAUCAAAUUAGUACCCUAUAGUUUCGUACUUUUUCAAUUUAGUAUCCUAUGGUUUAAAGUGUAUCAAGUUAGUAUUAUGUGGUUUUGCACUUUCUCACUUUAGUACCCUAUGGUUUAAUAUUUUGUUAAAUUAUAUAUAAAAAACUUCAGGUACCCUAUCUAGAUUUAUCGAAUAUUCAUUUUAGUCCCCCUUAGUUUUAACUUUGUCACUGAUUUAACGAAAAAAAUACUCCGAAAUGGAUAAUAAAAAGAGAAAAAUAAAACCACAGGGUAUUAACUUGAUACAAAAAUAAAACCACAAAGUACUAACUUGAUAUACUUUAAACCAUAGGGUACUAAAGUGAGAAGGUGCGAAACCACAGUACUUACUUGACACACUUUAAACCACAAGAUACUAAAGUGAGAAAGUGUGAAACUAUAGGGAAGGGUAUCUGAAGUUUUUCCUUCCAAAAAAUUAAGGGCGUGUUUGGUUUCACGUAAAACCAGUUAAAAUUUUUUUUUCUAACGUUUGGUUUGGUGUAAAAGGAAAAAUUAUUUUCCAGAUGUGAAGGAAAACUCAGCUUUUUGUUUUCCGCAUCGUCUCCACGGAAAACGAAAACUUGGAGAAGAAAUCGCGGCUCACGCACAAUAAAAGCAUCACGGUCCACGAGCUUAGCCUGAGAACUCGUGGACCGCGUGAGUGGUCCAUGCCGGACCGGACCACAUAGCCAUCUCUCUCUCUCUCUCUCUCUCUCUCUCGUGUGUGUGUGUGUGUGUGUGUGUGUGUAUAUAUAUAUAUAUAUAUAUAUAUAUAUAUAUAUAUAUAUAUAUAUAUAUAUAUAUAUAUCGUAAAAUGUAGAAUAUCUUAUUUUUGAAAUUCAAAACUGUCUUGUGACAUUAUAGUAGGAUUAUUUGAUCCACAAACUUUUCAUUAUGGAGGAUUCAGUGAAACCUUUCAUUUUUUAUGGUCGUAAUUUUAAAAGGUGGCAGAAUCAAAUGAGAUUCUGGCUCACCAUCCUUGGGCUGGUUUUUCCUAUCUUGGAUUUUGCCGAGAAUGGCAAUGGACCUGCACUUGAAGGUGCAAUCCAGACUGUGGUCAAUAGACCGGUUACUCGAAGCCAAACCCAGGCUGGAUCCACUUCUCCCUCCACUGAAACUGCAACUACAUCUACACCUGCAACUGCACCUUCUGUUGACCCUAACAUGAUCAACUAUCUCUAUUUAAACCGAAUUCUCAGUACCCUAUCUGACAAAUUGUAUGACAUCUAUUGUAGUGCUAAAACAGCUAGGAAACUUUGGACAUCCUUAGAAAACAAAUAUCGUCAGGUUGAUCCUAUCCAGAAGAGAUACUAGGCGUCAGAUCUAAUUAAAUUUAAGUUAGUAGGUAAUAAGUUUAUGUCUGGCCAACUUCAUGAUUUUGAGCAUAUAGUUGAGCAACUUAAAUCUAGUGGUAUAGAUCUUGAUGAGAGUUUCUUAGUUGUUGCCUUUAUAGAUAAGUUGCCACCCUGUUGGUUGAAUCAUGCAAAUAAUCUUAACCGCAAUCAAAGAGAGCUAUCCCUGAAUUAUGUUCUAAGAUCCAUUAGGAUAGAAGAGUCGAACCGAGCUAGGGAUAAGAAGCCUAGUGAACCUACAAGCCAAGCCAACCUAGUAGACCAUCCCAAAAAAUAAAGGUAAAAACUUUCAGCCUCGCCCGAACUUUAAGAAGAAGCCUUUCCACCAUAGGAAGUUCAACCCAAACUUUAAAAAAUCUAAAUCUGAGGGAAAUGGAAGCAACUCUGGUUGCUUUGUGUGUGCGAAGACAAAUCACUUUAUAAAAAAUUACUACUUCCGCAAGACUCGACCUUCCGUACCAAAGAAGAAGAAGGAAGCUCCACCUGAGCGCCAGAUGAAUAUGCUGAUUGUUGGUUCUGACCCUUCUGACUCCACUAUUAGGUUAGGAUCUAGUUUACCUAAAGGUAAUCUUGCCAAUAGUUCUUUUGAUUGGUGGAUAUAUAGUGGAGCUAAUGUUCAUGCUUGUUCUGAUCGUUUGUGGUUUUCCACCUAUUAGGACUCAUGUAGAGAAUCAGUGAACAUGGGGAAUGCAGCCUCUUUUCACGUGCGAGCGACAGGUCAAGUUGACUUGAAGCUGACCUCCGGAAAGACCUAACCUUGCACGAAGUCCACCAUGUUCCCGACCUUAGGAAGAAUUUGAUUACUGGUUCUCUCUUAGUACAGCAAGGUUUUAAGUUAGUUUUUGAAUGUAAUAGAAUAGUCAUAACAAAAGGUGUGAACUUUGUAAGGAAAUAUUUUUUUAGUGAUGGUUUGUUUAAAUUAUCUGUAUCUUUUCCUACUAUGAAUGAAAAUGCUCUUAUUUUAAAUGUUAGUUUUCCUAAUAUUUGGCAUGGAAGAUUGGGACAUGUGAAUUUUAAUACUAUCAAAAGAUUGAUGUAUCUUGAUUUGAUUCCUAAAUCUGAUUUACCUGAUCAUAAAUGUGAAAUAUGUGUGCAAGCUAAGGAGCCUAGAAAAUCAUUUAAAUUUGUAGAUAGAGAUUGUGGUAUUUUAGAAUUGGUGCGCAGUGAUGUUUGUGAUGGAAGUAGACCUAGUAGAGGUGAAAUAAGUAUAUAUUUUAUGACAUUUAUAGAUGAUCAUUCAAAGUAUUCUUAUGUUUACUUGAUCAAAUCAAAAGAUAAGGUUUUAAGCAGAUUUAAAAUUUAUAAGGCUGAGUUUGAAAAUCAAUUAGAUAAGAAAAUUAAGAUUUUUGAUAUUUGAUCAAGGUGGUGAAUAUACUUUAAAUGAGAUGAAUGCAUUUUGUUAAGAAUUUGGAAUUGUACAUCAAGUGACUGCACCUUAUACGCCUCAAUCUAAUGGAGUUGCUGAAUGUAAGAAUAGAACUUUGAUGGACAUGGUGAACUCGAUAAUUAUUAGUUCAGGCGCCCCCAAGAACUUGUGGGGGCAAGCUUUGAUUUCUGCAUGUAUGAUCUUAAAUAAAAUUUCCCACAAGAAUUCUAAUAUGUCUCUCUAUAAGCUUUGGAAAAGUAGCAAGUCUAAUCUGAAUUAUUUUAAAGUGUGGGGGUGCCUAACUAAAGUGAAGAUAUCUAAAAAUAAGAAGAGAAAGAUUGGACCUAAGACUGUGGAUACUGUUUUUGUGGGUUGUGCACAAUAUAGCAAUGCAAAUAGACUUUUGGUGGUGAAUUAUGAAAUUAGUGAGAUUUCUAACAAUACUAUUAUAGAGGAUAUAGAGAUACAGUGUACUUUGAAGAUAUGUUUUCUUUUAAGACUGGAGUAGAUAGACCUAUUCCAGCUGAACCUAUAGGUAGCUUUAGUAGACCUAGAGUUAGUGAACCUAUAGGAGAGAAUGAACCUAGAAGAAGUAAGCAUCCUAGAGUAGUGAAAAUUUUUGGAGAUGAUUUUUGUGUACUGCUAAUAGAAGAUACUAUAUCUACCUUUGACCAAGCUAUGAAGUCUGUAGAUACAUCGUUUUGCAAAGAGGCUAUUAAUUUUGAGAUGCAAUCUAUUCUACAGAAUCAUACCUGGGAGUUGACAGAUUUAUCUCUAGUAUGUAAGUCUGUAGGUUGUAGAUGAAUCUUUAAGAAGAAGUUGAGACCAGAUGGAUCUGUAGAUAAAAUAUAAGGCUAGAUUAGUGGCACAAAGAUUUGUACAGAACCCUGGGGUAGAUUACUUUGAUGUUUAUGCUCCUGUUGCUAGGAUUACUUCUAUUAGAGUGUAUUAUCUUGGCCUCUAUCCAUGAUUUGAUUGUUCAUCAACUGGAUUUAAGAUAGCCUUUCUGAAUGGUGAUUUAGAUAAAGAGAUUUCUAUGAAGCAACCUAAAGACUUUGUAGUUUCUGGGCAUGAGAACAAAAUGUUCAAAUUGAAUAAAUCUUUAUAUGGACUUAAGCAAGCUCUUAAGCAGUGGCAUUUGAAAUUUGAUUCUUUGGUUGUAUCAAAUGGCUUUCAUGUGAACAUGUCUGAUGAAUGUGUGUAUUCGAAGGAAUGUGAUGAAUAAAUAGUGAUCUUAUGUUUGUAUGUUGAUGAUAUUUUGAUUUUUGGUACUAAUAUGAAUGUGAUAUAUGAUGUGAAAUAUUUAUAAAAUAAAAAUUUUGAUAUGAAAGAUCUUGAAUAAGCAAAUGUUAUUCUCAACAUGAAGAUAAUUAGAAAAUCGAAAGAAAUUAUUAUGAGUCAAUCCCACUAUAGUGAAUAGUUGUUGAAAAAGUUUGGAUACUUUGAUAUUAGACCUAUAGUGAUGACACCUUAUGACUCUAAUGUGCAUUUUAAGAAAAAUAGAGGAGAUCCUAUAGGUCAAAAUAGAUAUUCAUUAAUUACUGGAUCCUUAGGAUAUCUGGUAGAUUACAUUAGACCUAAUUUGGUUUAUACUGUGAAUCGAUUGAAAAGAUAUACCCAUAAUCCAAACAGACAGCAUUGGAAUACCUUAGAAAGAGUUUUGAGAUAUCUAAAGUGAACUAUAUCCUAUGGAUUGCAUUAUACUGAUUUUCCUGCAGUAUUGGAAGGAUAUAAUGUGCUAAUUGGAUUAGUGAUACAACUGAUAUAAAGUCGACUAUUAGAUUUAUUUUUCUCUUAGGAGGAGCAGCUAUUUCUUGGAAGUCAACUAAACAAUCCCUUGAUUGCUAGAAGUAUUAUGGAAUCUGAACUCAUAGCUUUGGACACCACUGUAGCAGAAGCUAAGUGGAUUAGAGAGUUUCUUUAUGAUUUGCCACUGAUGGAGCGACCUUUAGCACCUAUAUGUAUUCAUUGUGAUUGUAGAUCUGCAAUAGAUAAGUGUGUCCGAGAGAAUGUGGAGACUAAAAUGAAUAGAUUUAUGAAAAUGAGACAUAAGUUCAUUCGAUAGAAUUUGAAAGAAAAUAUGAUUGCAUUGGAAUUUGUGAGAUUUGCGAAGAAUUUGGCUGAUCGACUUACGAAGGGAUUAUCUAGGACAGUGAUCUUAGAAUCGUCGAGGAAGAUGGGGGCUUAGCUCAUAAGAAGUUACCGGCGAUGGCAACCCAACCUGUUGCAGGUUUAAUAGGUAGAAACAAAUCGAACAGGUAGCUGUGAGAAGCACUGGUUUUAUAUUCUCAUCUCUAUGGCGACAGUGCUCAUAUCUGCAAGUGGAUAGGAGGGGCAUUGGCUCUGAAUGGUUCUGAUACCUAUAAGGCAGGGUUUGACUUUGCAGAUAACCUUUGAGGACCUACUAUAUGUGUGGAAUCGUGAGGCAGCGAUAAUGAGAAGAGGGUGGUUCCCUAAAACACACAUGAAGCAAUACUAGCGCAUGACCAUAAAAGCGCUCACCCGCUUAGAAUCUAAACGGCUGUACCAUGUGUGCAGUUUGUGAAAAUCCGAUUCACCUGCCUUGGUUCAAAGCGUAGUCCACCAUUGUGCCAUCAGAUAUACAUUGACAAACACUAAGUGAAGGUUCAAACCCGAAAGGUACCUUUGCCGAAUACGUGGUAUAAGAGAUCUAGCAUUCUUUUGAAUUGUUUUGAAUUUCUGUUCUAUUUACUUUCUUUAUUUGAAGUUUUAAAUCAUGUGGGGGAAUGUUAGAUUUUAUUGAAUUUUUGGUGAUUUAAAACUUCAUGAGCCUCUUGGGCAGCCCAAUACUUAAUGGACCUUGCCUAAGAAGCCAACUUAGGUUUCCACAUGUGAGGAUUAGUUCCACAUUGGAAACUAAAAGUGUGUUGUUUGUAUUUAUAUUUUUUUUAUUCUCAAGUUAGUUGCUUGGAAGAAAAUGAGAGUUAUGCUCUCGACUAAACACACGCACACGAGCACGAGCACGAGACGAGCCGAGCCAGCAGGGUGGCGGCACGUGGCCGAAACAAAUGCCAUUAUAAUUUUUACCGAUCCUACCAAUAACGGCAAUUGUCAUAAUUGCUGCAAAACUAUUUAGCGACAAUUAUAAUUGUCGGGAAUUUAAAAUAUAAUUGCCACUAAAACUCAAUUUUGUUGUAGUGUACUUGGAGUUGGAUUCAAAGUUAAUGCCACUUGUAAUGUACAGGAUUUUAAUAUAAAGGUAAAUAUAAAUAAAAAUAGUAUGAGAUACUAUUUUUAUUUCACUUAAAGAAGUAAAAUAUAAGUUGGAAGUGACUUGUUCUGAAAUUAGAAUGAAAACAGAAAAUUUAGAAUUUUCUGUUUGAAACGGGGCUGAUAUUUUAGCAGAAAAUUUACAGUGUCAGAAAAUUAUGAAAAUCUGAAAAUAUGUCGAAAUUAUUUUUAUGAGACUAGAUUUAAAGUUUCAUGUCAUUCUGACGCCCGGAAGGUGGAAAAUAAAAUCUGACUACUAUCUGCUAGAGAUUUUCGUUCGGUAGAGUUUUCGGUGACCAAAAAUGGUCCAAACUAGGAAGUUAAGAUAUCUUUCUUCUUGUUAAGUAAAACCGAGUCUGACUGUCAAAUUUGAGUAUAAACGGACAUUCAGAAGGGCUCCGGCGAAAAGUAUCAGAUUCUUACCUGCUAAACUGAUAAUUGUAAUAGUGUUUUGGGGGCCUAUAUAUAUGUAGCAAUGGCUUUCUCUUUUGUCUAGUGCAACCCGAGAGUGAGAGGGAGAAGCAAAUAUUCUCUCUUUCUCUCUAGCUUUCACUUCUCUAUCCCUCUUUUGUGAUCUCUCCACCAAAGAGAGGAAUUGGAGAAGGAGUUGGAGAAGAAGCUUGGUGGAGAAGAAGGCUUGAAGUUGAGCUACUACCUCUUCUUCUUUUUUAGCUCAAGGAAAGGAAAGCUUGUGAGGUAAGCUUCAUGAACCUCUAAUGGUGAAUAGCUAGGGUUUGGUUUAUAUACCAUAGAAAUGGAUCUAGAUGAAACCUUAGAUGCUAGUAGGUUGCUAUUUGCAUGAAUCAAAGGCUUGUAUGGCUAUUCUUGCAAUAGUUGCAUCUUAGGGUUUAAAAAAAGGGCUUUUGUUGUUUGAGGGUUUUGAUCUAAUAUAACCCUUGGGUUCUCUAAUUGAAGGUUAAAGGAGAGCCCUAAACAACUUUAGGUUGAAAAUCGGAGUGCGUUCGAUGAUCGUUUGCGAGUUCGAACCGAACCGGACAACUUGUGCCGCGGUAGGUCGAUUGCAAGUGACUACAAGCAAUCGGAGAGCGUUGCAAGGUGGGUUGUGCUCACCGAAGAUAUUAACUCACUUCCAUGUCGAAGUGAAGUGUUAAUUAUCAUUGAUGCAUAUAUGGUGGUUAGUUGUAAAACAUAUGAAUGCAUGAGAUGAAUGCUAUGUUAGACUAUCAUUGGAUGAUAAUGAUGAUGUAUGGUUACUGUUGAUGCAUAUACAUAUAUUUGGUAGGUUGUACAUGAUAAUAUGAGUGUAGGAAUCAUAUUAUACUUGAUGUUGUUACCUACCAUGAGAUGCUAUAUGGAUGCAGGAGAAGAAAUAUACAUGUUAACAUAUUGUGGAAUAUGCUAGAGGAUAUACAUGCAUGAUGACAUGUUGUAGCAUGUGUUAGAUUCAUGAAGAUGUGAAUUUUGGUCGAUAACUCUAGGUUGAUUAGAGAAUUCGACAUUAGAAAAUAAGAACAUAUGAAAUCUAUAAUACUCGAUAUGGAUAAGUAGGAUGUCAAGUAGAUCGAGUGGCGUUUGGAACUAGUGUAGUAGAAGCACUAUGACCUGUCUAGUAGACAGGGUAUCCUCAGUAGACGAUGAUUGAAUCAUACUCACUUAGUCUGUUUUCACUUGGGGUGGUCGCUCCACACAAGCAGUGAGCUCCGGAGUCAUCACACUAUGGGUAAGAAGAACCUACUCAGCAGGCGGUCUCGGUAUGCGAGUGCAGAUUCUCCUCACCUAUGAGAUUUUGAGAAGUGAGUCGGGGCGUAACCUUCGAGUUAGCCAGUUAGACUGGGUGAUGAGCAUAUGAAUCCCAGCAGAGUGGAGCAGAGUGGAUUCGGUAUCCCAGUAGAGUGGAUUUGGUAUCCCAGUUUAGUGGAUCUAAGGCUGAGGUACAUGUGAGACCUCCUUCACCUUGAGCCUGGCUUUACGCGGUAUUCCGCGAAUGAUUGACUCAAGACCGAGUCGAGUGGAUAGCUUUAUAAAAGUAGAUGAAACCUUGUGAGCAAACAGUAAAUGUAGAUGAAACCUUAUGAGCAGAAUUGUAAUUGACAUGAAUCUAAGAUAGUGAAAAACUUAGAAGUCAAUUGGAUGAGCUGUGGAUAGCGAGACAGAAAGUAGAAGCAGUUGAUCUACUUAUAUUGCUGCACGUUGAGUUGCAUGACUUACAUUGAUGCAUGUUGAGUUGCACGAUUUGCAUUGUUGCAUGUUGCGAGGCAUGAACAUGAUAACUGUUAGUUGCAUAAAGUAUAUGAUGAUAUAUAUGUGGAUAUCUGUUGGACUAACAUGUUUGCAGUGCCUCUUUCGGACCUGGUGGGUCGAGCUCUUCCCUUGGGUGACCGUACCCACUGGGAACUAUAUUUAUAUAGUUCUCACCCCAUAUUAUUUUGGGGGAUUUCAGGUUCACACGCGAGCGGCGCUGCGGUGCGAGAAAAGGGCGUAGCUUCGUAGAUAGCGCCCUACCACAGAGACCAGUAAUAGCAUUGCCCCAAGUCGGCCUAGCUAUGGGUUGUAGAAAAGAAGAAAACAAUGUGUAAUAAUAUCGAUUGUAUUUGGAAGAAAAGAAAACGAAAAUAAAUAUCUAAAAAGCAUGUGUUGUGAAUGCUUGUAAUAACUUAGUUGUUUUAUGUUAUUGAUACCUUCCUUAUGCAAUCAUGUAUGAAUGUUGUUCCUGGUUGGAACCUCGUGAUUUGUAUUGAUUGUGACGCCGAGGACGUUCAGGAAAAACUCAGUUCAUUCGGUGGUCUGUUGGCGUGCCCGAAUCCGACCAAAUAGGCGGGUCUCGAGGCGUGACACCACUGAUUUACAUCUAUCGUGCUAUGCUGAAAUUUUUCAGGAAUUGAUUUUAUUCGUCGAUCGAAACGAAUUUCUCCGUAUGAUUCUAAUAGGGGAGUCCAGAAGAGCCACGCGUGAAUUCUAGCUGAUUGAAAUUUGCUCCUAGCUCAAUUUGAAGGGAUAUUAUUUUCUAAUUGGACUAAUUGGAUCCUGAAGUUGAAUUCGUUCGAAAUGUUAACUUUUGUUGGACACUCUAUUCAAGUUUUAAUUUCAUUACCUUCGGCAGGAAUUUUUACAUUUUCGCAUCACUUCCCUUUUACUUGGAGUUAGGGGAAGGUACUUGAGGAGUCUAAGUCAACCAGUUUAGAUUAGCGAAUAAGGUGGGUUAAUAUUGACCGAAUACUUCGGAAUCCCUCCUAAGUUGUAGAGAAUUUCAGCACUCUUUAAUUGUAUCAUGUUAUCAUAUUAGUAGCUCGAAUUUAAACAUUUGCAUAAGUUUAAAUGAAAUAUGAAUUUGGAGCAUGAUUUAGUAAUUUUAGAUAAAUUUUUACAUAUUGAACUGGGACUUAACUUAGAAGAAAACUCAUUAAACCUACACAUGUCACUUUUCGAGAAUGCUAACAGAUUUAGUUUCAGGAGCUAUUUUUACUCUUGUAUCACUGCUGUUACUGCGAGGUAGAUGCUUAGUUUAGUGUAGGGUGUUACAUCCUCCCCUCCUAAAAGAAGUUUAGUCCUCUAAACUUAACACACCUUAGCUCUCGAAGAGUUUGUUAGAAAAUAACCGGCACAUUAGAAAAACGCAGCGGAAAAUAAUUUUGCACUUUUAAUUUUUUUCGGAAGCCAAAUACAUAUCACAUAUGAAAACCGAAAACUAAUAAAUCAAACAGUUGCCGGCGGAUCAUUCUCAUGUUACUAUGUAAAAAUUUAAUCUAAACAAAACUCUUUAUGUUUAGAGAUCUUAUCGUGGAUGAGUUAAGGUCUAUUAAUCUACUGUACGAUAGAAACUGAAUAUGACGAGCAGAGGUUCCGAUUAGCCGCGCACAUGCCCGGCCUCUACGCAUAUUCACACGGAAUCGGCGACCCGAUCAAGCUUCGUCUCACGAACCAGAUGAGUCACGGACCAUCUGGACGGUGCUAGCAAUCCCUCAUGAUCCACCAGUCGAUGAAAAGUAGAGAAGUUGAUCGGAGAGAAAAUACGUGCGCGCGAGAGAAAUCAGAGAGAGAUUGAUUUCGAUAUGUAUAUGCAUCUAAAUUCAUUAUGCAUCUCUUUAAUUAAGAUGCAUGGCACCUUAAUUAAAAUUCCUCCAUAGGUACGGCAUCAUAUGCCGUACGGCUCUUCUUUUAUUUAUUUAUUUAUUUAUUUUUUUAACUAACUUAUUGUAUACGCAUACAUCACUACAACAAAAAUGGUCUAUAGCGACACUUUUAAAUGUAGGUACAUGUCAAAAAAAUGCUGCUAGCUAAAAUUACCGACACUUUUGAAAAGUGUUGCUAUAUGUGGGGUCGCUAGGUAUAUAGUGACAGUUAAAGAGUGUCGCUAUAACCUAAAAGAGUGCUGCUAAUUUAUCAACACUUAUUUAAGCAUUUAGCAAUCGCCGAAAUUCUAUCUCGUUGGCUGCGGUGGCGGAGGAGGACGACAGGAAAGGCUCUUCGCCUAGAAUUUCAGUGAAUUGAGUGAAGAGAGAAGAAAAAAUGGUAAUUGAUUUUUCUUUUUUUAUUCUUUUCUGUUUGUAAUCGGGCCAAAUGGACUGGGUGUGGUGGGUUGAGUAGAGUAAUCUUUUAUUUUUGGUUGGAUUGGGCUUUAUAUUUAGGCAUUAGUAGAUGUUUUUUUAAGUUUUAGCAUAAAUGGGACACUUACUCAAAAGUGUCCCAAACAUGUGUCCCUAUAACCUAAUUCUGUUGUAGUGCAUAUAUAUAAUAUAAAUCUAUAUAUGUAUAUAUAGAAUCUUAUUUCAUAAAAUCUUAUCUAAUAAGAUUUUUCUCUCUCUCCAAUAAAAUUUAAUAAUUAAAUAUUCAUACUUAUCCAACUAAAUCAAAUCUAGUAAAAAUCUUAUCUUGUAAGAUAUUAUGAAUAUUUAAUUAUUCUCUAAUCCAAUUAGAGAUAAAUAUUAAUCUCUCCAAUAUUUAAUUAGAUCUUAUCUAAUUUUGAUCUUAUCCAAUAAGAUUACUUACUAAUAUUUAAAUCUCAUUUAAAUAUCUUUUAUGAUUAAAUAUUAUCCACUAAUCUAAUUAGAGAUAAAUUUAAAUCUUGCACAUAAUUCUCAAACUGAUUCUGAGAUCCUAAUCUAAUUAGGACUAUCAGUUAUAACCGAAUAGAAUAAUUAAAUUUAAUUUAAUUAAGCAGCUUCCUUUUAUUUUCAUCGCUAGCUUACACUAAACUCUUUAGUGAACGACUCUCAUCCAAACGAUUCGGGUGCACACAAUUCCUAAUGUGUGCGACCGCAUAGGUUCAUUACCAUUCGGUAGUGGAGCUCAACAUCAAACUCUUUGAUAUUUAAUUAGAACUCUUCUAAUCAAUAAAUAAGAACAAUUCAAUUCGAAUCAUUCAUAUUCUGUCACCUUGCGUGAGUGACACUUAGCAGUAUAUCACGGCAAUCCAAAAUGGUGAUGAAAAAUUAACAUUUUUGUUUACAGUUACUAUGUGAUUAAUUCCUUCCAACAUACAAUGUCGCAAUCGAACUAAGGUUAUGGUUACUCGCCAAACCUUAUCAUUCGACCAUAUAACUAGAAUAUCUGAAAUCAACUCAAUAUGGUAACACAGUUAGAAACUCUUUCCACAUACCAUGUACCCUGGCCAGGGGUUUUCCAAGUCGAGUCCGAUAGACUACAUAGGACAUUCUCCCUCGUCAUUGAGAGUGUUAGAUCCCUUAUUGCGCAUUCACAUGCCUUCUCGUAUAAAUCACUAUGGCAAAUCAGUACCGAAUAUAGACCCGUGUCUAGAGUCUAAAUAUUAGUACUGUCAAACGGUAGCAACCUAUACGUGAAGCAACUAUGAUGCCUCAGGUUUGAGGAGUACUUCACACAACUGUAGCAAUGAAUUUGUCUCUGGCGAGCAUAGAAUCAUGUGACUGUUCAACUAAAUAGUCACGCUCAGUGUACUUAUUCUCUAACAAGCACCUGUAUGCUUGUUCUAGUGUCUCUACACUAGUAACUUGAGAUUCGUCACCUCAAUUAGAAACAUAGCAUACACCGGCCUAUCCAGAAUAUCACCGUCCCUGUAAUAUACUUCUGGCUAGGAGCAUUUAAAAAGUCUUGUAUAGAAAAGUACAUAUCUCAAAUUCCUAACUCUUAGGAAUAUGUCUUUUCAAACAAAGACCCUAUGGACAAUUCAUGUCAAUAUUGUACUGCUAUAAAAUAGAUAUGAAUAGAUUAUCUGCCUUUAUAUUAUAAAUUAUAAAUAAUUAAUAUAUAAAUACCGUUAAGCCAGUGUCACCAAAUUCGCUUUUGGGCAUAUAACUAACAGAGUUGAGGGUGCUUCUUCCUCAUCUGCUCUUCAAGUUCCCAAGUAGCUUCUCGUUCAGAAUGGUUGCUCCACUGGACUUUAACAUAUGAAAUGGUCUAUCUCCUCAAAACUUGCUCCUUUCGGUUCACAAUACGUACCGGCUGUUCGUCAUAAGAUAGAUCCUCUCUAUGCUGCAAAGUUUCCGGCUCCACAUCGUGGCUCGAAUUGUGGACAUAUUUUCUCAAUAUAGAUACAUGAAAGAUGUUAUGCACUCCAGCUAAAGAAGGCGGUAAGGCGAGUCUGUAUGCUACGUCACCAAUUCUUUCAAGUAGCUCAAAAUGGCCCACAUAACAAGGGCUAAGCGUCCCACGGAUUCCAAAGCACAUAACACCUCUUGAAGGUGACACUUUCAAGAAGACAUGGUCUCCCACUUCAAACUCGAGCGGUCGUCUUCGAUUAUCAACGUAGCUCUUCUGCCGACUCUGAGCUGCUCUGAGAUGUUCCUUAAUCAAUUUGCAAUGACCCGACUAUACAAUUUAGUUGGUACCUAAUAAAGUUUUGUAUCGCCUACAUAGUAUGAAUAUAUCACUAUACCAAGUGGGGGAAUAUUGGAAUGUCGCCCAUUUGAUUUAUUUAAGGAUAUCUAUAAAGAUACAGUCGGUCUAUUCAAUUCGAUCUAUAAAGAUACGGUAGAUCUAACGGCUAGGAUGUAUUUGGACACGUCCUUGAUGGACAGACGUGAUUUAACAUCCUUAUAUCAAGUUAUAUAUAAAUAUGUAACAUACGGGAGUCCCGGUCUAGCCCUAAUCCUAAUUUCCAUGACGGCUCCAUCUCCGGGAAAGAAGGAAUUGGACUCGAAAUGUCCUACUCUUUUGCAGAUCGUGAACAAGAACGAAUUACAAGCAAGAAUCACUGUCUACAAUCUGGGUAUAGAAAUCGAAAUCAUGGCAGAAGGUACGAUCUUAAUUUUUUAUAAAGUUUAACAACAGGAUCAAGGGACAAAUAAAGAGAGUAAAAUGUGAAAGUAUGAAAGUAAUGAGGAAAACACAUGAAUGUGCUAAGGAGCAAGUGAAUAGUAGUGAAAAGACAAUGUGAAUUAUGAUAUUGGUAAUCAUUGCAUGUGACUAUAACCUGUAAGAGCCAAAUUGAGCUCAACAACAUAGGUGGUACAUUUACUUAAUUGUGUGAGGUUAAUUACAACCAUAGCUGAUGGCCCUUCGCACUACAACAAAAACGGUUUAUAGCGAUACUUUUAAAUGUAGGUACAUGUUAAAAAAGUGUUGCUAGCUAAAAUUACCGACACUUUUAAAAAGUGUUGCUAUAUGUGGGGUCGCUAGGUAUAUAGUGACAAUUAAAGAGUGUCGCUAUAACCUAAAAAAGUGUUGCUAAUUUACCAACAUUUAUUUAAGUAUUUAGCAAACGCCGAAACUCUAUCUUGUUGGCUGCGGUGGCGGAGGAGGAUGACAGAAAAGGCUCUUCGUCUAAAAUUCCGGUGGAUUGAGUGAAGAGAGAAGAAAAGAUGGUAAUUGAUUUUUCUUUUUUUUUUCUUUUCUGUUUGUAAUCGGGUCAAAUGGACUGUGUGUGGUGGGUUGAGUAGAGUAAUCUUUUAUUUUUGUUGGAUUGGGCUUUAUAUUUAGGCAUUAGUAGAUAUUUUUUUUAAGUUUUAGCAUAAAUGGGACACUUACUGAAAAGUGUCCCAAACAUGUGUCCCUAUAACCUAAUUUUGUUGUAGUGUCGGAGGUGGUAGUCUUAUGUGACAGUUUAUGGUUCCUGUUGAGUGCCAAGAUGGUGGUGAUCUUUGAACCUAGGAGUGCGGGAUGUCAUCCAUGAGAGCAGGGAUAAAUUUGACUGGAUCAUGAGUCGGUCAUUGUGACUGGGUUAUCAUUUCUUAUUAGUUACUGUAUCUGAUGCAUGAUGAGACACGUUUUAUAGUUCUCACUGCUUCUUUAUAGAGAGGUGAUAGUAGAUAUCUAUUUAUAGUUUAGUAUAUUAUGUGAUUAGUUAUUCAAUUCAGUUUAUACCUAGACGUAGUGGUUUAGGUCGUCAUUAUUGUCGAUUAGCCCAUUGGCAAUAUUUUUCAAUAGUUCGCACGUUAUAUUAUUUUUUAUUUUAUUUGAGAGCCUCAGCGCCAGCUAGUGACCGAGGAAAGGGAUGGCAGGUUAAGUAGCAUCUCCUAUCCUGGGCGAUAUGCUAGUAGAGGACCAUUCCCUAUAAUAGUAUAGCUAGCUGUACAUAUUAGGCCCAGGGGAGUAGGUUGUGUUAUAUAUUAUUUUGGUUGUGCAGUAGAGACUUGUAUAGUUAUAGCUAUAGUUAUUUAGUUAUAUAUAGACUCAUAAUACAUGUUUUUUUCUUGAAUAUGCUCGAUGUAUAUAAUUUGGAUAUGUUAAUUAGACCAAGCUUCGUAUGUGCGGGUUUCGUUAUCGUGCACAUGGCAGGUCUAUUAGUGUACCCAAAGGCUUCCGUUGUAACUCGGAGUGUGAGAGAUUAAGUUAGUAUCAAAGUCUAAUAAUGUAUUAACUGGAGUUAAUAAAUCCUAGGCUUUUGGCAAAUCUUAAGGAUAGAUCGAAGGUAGUGAGUGACGUGACUUACAGUGCAAGUCGGUAAAUUGAGUUAUGUGCAAUCUUUAAAAGUGCAUUAAAGAGUAACCAAAGGUGUCGUAUCUUUUUCUUUUGGAUAAUUAUAUUAGCUCCAGACAGUAUAAUGUCAUAGGUGGGAAAGGAGAUGCCUUUUUGGACUUUCGCUUGAUUAGAUUAAGUUGUGUGUUAUUGUAUAAUUAAUUUUGUUUUGUUCCAGGUAACCGACAUGGCACAGCGUGUGCGGCUUUUUUUCUUAGUUUUUUCUUUUUUUAGAUGUUUGUUUUUAUUUUUUGGCCAAACGUAGAGCUCUACUUGAGCAGCUCAACUGCUAUAUCCAAUUAGCCUAUUAUUUUUAUUCCUAAGUACUACUUUCAAACAUAUUUUAGAUCACAAAUUGUUGAAACAAUGGCCAAUUUAACAACCAAGAAUCAAAGAAUUUUCUGAAGAAUAUUGACAGUAAUUACGUGCAUACUUGUUUUGAAAAUAUAAAGGUUGAGAAAGUCAUUAGAGGCCAUUAAGAAUCUUGAGGAGACUCAUCCAAAUAGGCCCCACUUCUUGUCAUUCCACAAGCAAGACAUGUUCGAUGGUGUAGUUAUACUUUUCUACUCCUUCCAUUCCACAAGGUUAUUUUUGCAAGGAGACCCUUGUCACAUAGUCAAUGGAAGUCAUGUUUUUCCAAAUCAUGCAACUUGCUAGACGAGAACGAUGCGUGUCCGCAGCACAUCCAGAAAUUUAAAAUAAAAAAAUAAAAAUAAAGAAAACAACAAUAAUAACCGGAAAAAAAAAAGCAUAGGAACUACGAACUAGAGUUUGAAGCUUAUUAAAUAAUGGAGACUUAAUUACGCUCUACUAUACUAUAUAUGUUUUUGUAUUAUUUUUAUUUGCACUAUUACACAACUCUCUUUUGAGUAGGUCUUGUGUGCUAUUAGAAGUACGGAGGCCUCCGUGCUUCUAAGCCGUUUUCAAUAAUGGAGCUUUCGAUCGAUGAUCGGCUCCAUUAGACUUAAUAUAGUAUAUUUGAAGUAUUUAGAAAAUAAAUUUUGUGAUUUUUCGAUAUCAUUUACCUAGCAAUCGAAGAGAUUCAAAAUCAACAGCUGAAAAUAAAAAUCUUUUAAAAAGUGGUGAUAUGGCAUUAAAAUUUUCGAUCAGAAAUAUUGAUCUUACUGCAAAUAACUAUAGUACGUAUAAAGAAUUUUCUAUUAAAAUUUCAUUUGAUUUGAAUAAUUCUACACCGUUAAACUUGCAAACAAUAUAUAUCAACUAUUAAAAAUUGUUGAUUUUGAACCCCUUCGAUCGUUAGGUAAAUGAUAUCAAAAAAUCGUAAAAUUUAUUUUCUAGAUUCUUCAAGUACGCUAGAUCAAGCCUAAUAGAACCGAUCGUCGAUUCGAAGGUUCCAUCAUCAAAACGGCUUAGGAGCAUAAAGACCUUCGUGCUCCUAAUAGCACACAAGACCUACUCCUCUUUUUUGCUAAGAUACUAUUAUAUUAUUAAAUAUAUACUUUGCUACUUUUAACUAGUGUAUUUAACAGUUUUCACAUAAAAUUAUUGAUUUAUUUCACUAUUUAUGUGUUUUUCCUAUUUUUGAUUGCGUUUUGUCAUUUUUGUUUGUGUGUUCGUUGUAGCAUUGAUUCCAAGGAAAAAUCGGUAUUUUCAUUUUCUAAAAAAAUCCGGAAAAUAGAUAUGCUAGUUUUCCGUAAAAUAGAAAGAGUUUUUUAAAAAAUGCUUAUUUUUCUUCAAAACAAACAAGCGAAAAAUUGAAAAAGAAGUUUUGCAUGAAACUUUUUCUUAAAAAUUUAUUUUCAUACUUUUUCGAGGAACCAAUCAGCCGUUUAUAAUGUAAGGAUUGUGUUGGGAGCCGAAUUUCCCGACCCUAGACCCGGUCAAAGAUCCUCCUCGGGAAGCGCAUCGGGGUGAGGAACGGCUGCGGAUAGUGAUCCUCGAAGUUUGCCCCCUUCGACAGAUCAAGCGAUUCGGCUGAUGAGGGAUCGGAUAAGCCGAGUUCGAAAAACUUUACCAUAGAAUCGGUUCGGCUGGAUGAGCCGAAUGUAUUGACUGAGCAAAGAUUGAGGUCGGCCGAUGAGCCGAACGACUAAAGAAAACUGAAACUGAUCGACUCGAGGAGACGAAUGCCUAAAUAACACAGAAACUAGCCGGCUUGAGGAGCCGAAUGCCUCUAUAUUGAUUGACUGGAGAGAGAAAUACAAAGGCGGAUAUGAAGUUUACAACGGAGUGAUGCCCGUGGGGCAGACAGACUUCAAAGAUCUAACUUAAAAACUACUCAUAGGAAAAAAGCAGCAAAAUUAUAAGUAGACUACUACUAGGAAGUGUAGGAAAUUGCGUGGAAGAUAAAAGCGGUCUUUUGUACACAAGGGCAAAGGCCUCUUUCUUUUAGGGCGUUAUUAGCCUAUUUAUAUGUUGCCCUUUGAUCAAUUACUCUUUUUCCACGAUCGGCCAUGACUUCCUAAUUCUUCGGACCACUUCCAGCCGAUCGGAACCGCUUACAACCGUUUGCGGUUACUGUAACCCCCUCGAUCUAGCGCGGUUCAUGCUUCCCUUAAUGCUCCCGGGGCAUAUCGAAACUGUGGCUCUUGCGUAGACUUGACAUGCCAGCUGUCCACGCCGAAUUGGCCCAACAAUUGCCCCCUCGGUAGCUUUUGAAGCGACGCUUCGGUAGCUGGCGUCUUCCAAGGCAUGAUUACUUUUCAAAUUCCUAGUGUUGGUCUGUCUCAACUGUUCGUCUCCUCUUAUGCCGAAAUUCUGCCAUCGCUUCAAGAUAAAGCGUGAUCUGAGGCGUAUUUCUCGGUCCAAUUAAUUUCAAACCUUCUGUUCUAGUAGCUGACGUGAUCCGACGAGCAUUUUUCCACCCAGAGUACGAUUGGGUUUCGGCCGUUCAUUUUUCUUCACGGCCCUGAUUUCACCCUCGAUUUUUGUCUUACAUGCGGCAUUAAUUAGGUCAUUUUAAUUACUGCCGUCUAUUCAUCAUUAUAGCCGACCUCGGAAUUCGUUUCGACACGACGGCCAUCUUUCCUUCUUCUUCAACUGUUAUCUUUCGUCUUCAUUGCUUUCUUUUACUUCUUUUUCGUUUCUUACAACACUUCGUCUCUUCCAUCGAAACUCCUUUCUCAUUUUUCUUUCUUUUGAGUAAUGGCACUGGUUCCGCCUCUUCCUUCUCAUCCGUCCCUUGAUUAUACUAUACUUAAACCCUUUGUCGACUCAAACCCAUCUCGAGUUAUUUUGGGUCCUUCUCUUACAGACAUGCUAUCCCUUAUUGACUCACCCUUUUCUGGCGACGGUCUUCCCCUGAGAAAAGCUAUUCACCUUCAGUCUUGGUACUCUUCAGCUUCAACAGGGAAGAGUCUUCGAACCUGGCCAAGUAUCUCAGAGGCAUACUUAACCUGGUUAGAUAGAGUAGAAGCCGCCUUUGGUGACUUUUGGCGAGAGGUUGGGAUAUAUGAAGCCAUUCAAUUAUCUCGGCAUCCUCCUAUUGCAGAAAAUCUUCUUCUAGCCGCUGCUCUGUGUUUUUGUCCCCUGCCUCUAAUAUUUUUCUUUUCAAAAGAGGAUCUCUUACCCCCACUCUUUUUGAUGUUGCCGCCAUUGCCGGCUUGCGCCCUCAUGGCGUUACUAUUUCUAUGUCUUAUAAUCCUGACGGCGUAUCUGAUUUUGAGGAUCGUUUAGACCUCAAUGACUUGGCUUACUCCAAGUUUAUCCGCAAAUUCGCAGGUGAAUCCCCUGCUCCUGUCACUAGAAAAGAACAUACAGCAUUCCUCCUUUAUUGGUUAUGUUAUAAUUUCUUCUGUACUCGUUCAUAGAAGAUCAAUCGUGAUUUUGUUCUAAUCGCCGUUGGUUUGUCUAACAGCGAUAGAUUAGCUCUAGGGCCUUAUUUUCUUGCCUUUGUUUAUAGAGAAAUUUUUGAUUCUAUCAAAAUACUGCCUUCUGGAGAUGGUAUUUCCAUCCAUUCUGGCUGUGGUAUUUUCUGGUUUCUCCAAAUAUUUUUGCAAUUCUAUAUUCCGGCUUUAUGUCAAUUUCCUUUUAAUCCGACUUCUGCUGCCCAAUUUGAUUCUUAUGGGUUAGCUCUCGGCUGUCCGCAGCCGAUGACUCCGGGUCAACUUUUUGACUUUCUUACUUAUUUUAAAACUUUUUAUGAGCCGAGUCCUGAAUCGGCUAUUUCCUGGGCUCCCUUUGCUGACCGUCUUACCGGUCCCUCCUGGUUCCUUGCCCGGUUUGAAGCUAUCCAAGGUGAAUUGGCCUCUUCUCACGCGAGUGAGUACUAGAAGUAUGGUACUCUUAUUUGGCUCCGAGAGAUCUUCAUGUGGGGUUAAAAUCGCGCUCAAAACUAUUACCAAGCACUAAAGUUUAUUCUCCUCAGUAUGUGGCCCGCCUGUUUGGAUUUGUUCAGGCGAUUCUUGCUCCAUCUAAAUUAUUUACAACUAAUACAAACGAUCAUCGACCGCCUACUAAAGGUAUAGCCGAAGCUGAUAAGAUUUCGGCUAUGGGAAAUCGCCUUCGUCGAUUCUUUAAAUUAGUAAGCUUCGGACCGAACUACACAGGAGUAGCUCUUGCCGGCUAUGCUACCAUUUGGGAUCAUUUUACUGAUCGUAUUCUCCACCUUUCUCUUCUUUGCGCAUUCCGUAGAACUAUUCAUCCGCUUGUUUUAGUUGAUACUCCUGCCUCAUCAUCAAGAGAAGAAAUAGAAGAAGUUUCUGAUCACAUCUCUGAUGCCCAGCCUUCUUCUUCUGUAAUGUACUUACCCUUAUUUUAACUUUUCUUUUUAACAUUCCCAAUACUUACUUUCCUUCUGUUUCCUUUUUUUUCUACAGUCAAUUCCAGUUUCUCCAUUGGUCUCAGCUUCAGAAAAAGACUGAUUGAGACCGCUCAAUCUACUCCUCCGCCGCCUCCAAAGCGGCGUAAAUCAGUUGCUAAAAGGCCCCAUUCCAAGCAAGCCGAAAGUAUUUCUGCGGCUAAUGUAUCAAAGAAAAAAACUGAGGAAACACCACCAGCUCCUGUUCCCGAAAAAAGAGCCAAAGAAAUGCCUUCGGCUGAUGCCUCAAGACAAGAAUCUGUUCCUAAUGAGCCUAUUGAGAUUGAGGUAUAUCGAUUCGAUUGGCCACUUUAACUUGUAUUAUUUUCUCAUCUUGUUUACCAUUCUUUUAAUAAAACAGUCUUCUCCUGAGAACAAUUCAAGAGCCCGUUUUGCUUCUUCUUUGAAGACGCAGAUUAGUAGACAAGUUCGUCGAGAUGUUCGCCUUGAGAAAAAGCAAGAGGAGGAGAGAAAAAGGACUACCCGAGAAAUGGGCUCAAAGCUACCAGCAAGUACUACCAAUCCAUCUUCGGCAACAAUUGAGGAAGAAGAUGUGACUGUACCUCUAGAAAAAGAUAUUGGAGAACCAGGGCGUCGUUCGACUCCUGAAGCUUCAUCACCUAGAGCUUCAUCUCUUACUCCUGAUGAUGCUCUGUCUACUGCCCUUCAUGCAUUGUUAACUUCGAGCCCAAAUUCUAAUGAAGGAGAUGAUUCGAACACUAUUGUGAUGUCGUCAGACACUCAACAACAAUUUGAUGAGUGCCUUCGAUUAUAUAGUCAAGGUCUCCUAUAUUUGGCUUGGAAUCCAGAGCAAUUUGAUCGGCUAUGUGCUCUUUUACUUGACUUGGCCGAUCGGUCAGACAUUUCUUCUGCCAAUAAAUAUUUUGUAGAGAUUCUAUCAUCUCAACUUUCUUCUUUUUUGGCUCGGCAACAAUCUUUGGGUGCCGAGCUUUUGUCCUUGGAUCAACAUUUUCACCGUGUUGACUAUUUCAAGAAUUCUAUACCUGAGGUAGCAGCUCCUAUUACUAACAUGAGCCGUGAGGAUCGUGUCUUAGCAGAUCAAGAAUCGUCUCUGCAUUAGCGCAUUUUAACUCUUGAAGAAGAAUUGGCUGCAGUUAAAUUGACUGUAGCUCAUAUUUCUGAGCGUCGACUUCAAUUACAAGAUCACUUGAAGUCCAGAAAAGAAGAAGGUAUAAGACUGAAGGAAGAACUUUCUCGGCUUUACAAAGUGCAUCCCUUGAUGAAACGCUGAAGAAAAGCUGCUGAAACUGCUCAAGCCAAUUUUACAGCCGAAUGAAACCAACUCAGAGAUUUAUCAUCUUGAUUAGGCUUGGAAUAUUCUAACUUUAACUUUGGUUAUUC